rnacentral:lncRNA from 1 species
AAAUUUAGAGCAUAACAAAAAGCUAUUUAAACGUGUUAAUGAAAUAGCAGUAAAGAAAAGAUGCACCCCAUCUCACCUUGCAUUAGCAUGGGUUCAUUACCAAGGAAAUGACGUGUGUCCGAUUCCUGGAACCACCAAGAUUGAAAACCUCAAUCAAAAUAUUAAAGCUCUGUCACUGAAACUUACUCCAGAAGAAAUUGCUGAGCUUGAAUCCAUUGCUUCAGCUGAUGCUGUAAGGAGUCAUCGGUAUGGGGGUGUCACCCGUACCUACGAGGAUUCUGAUACUCCACCUUUGUCUUCGUGGAAACCUUCAUAAAGGGUUUUGGUAUUCUGCCUUCUUAGUACCGAUUUUGCAAUUGCAUGUAGUUCCUAGGUUUUGUUGUGGGUAAAAUCAUUGUGUUGUGAGUAAAAAUAAAGUCAUCAUGUCUUCUGAUACGAGACCCUAUCAGCACCUUUCUGCACUUUCUACAAGCAUUUAGUGAAUAUUGUAUUGAGUUUCUAUGUAAUGUUGUAAGUAAAACUAAAUCAUUGUAUCUAUUGGCUCCAUCUCAUUUGGGGGUCCAAAAGCCUAAAGUUUAACAGGUUUAGACAAUUAAGUAAUUAAAAGAGACUUAAAGGGGAGAAUGAAAUUUGCCAUGAAAUUUGCCUAUAAAAGCAAGUGAAAGCCGUUGCCUUGGAUAAUUUAGAGCGUGAACAAGUGGUGAGAGAGAGAGAGAGAGAGAGAGAGAGAGAGAGAGAAAAGACAGUAGAUGCUUUCAUUUGAUAAUAGUGAUUUUAAUCUUUAAUUAGACGAUUGGAAGGUAAAAUUAACUCCAAUUUCUCUCAAAUUUUGAGGGUAAGUUCUUGGCAUCGCCCUCUAGAAUCCUACUGGUCUUGAUUUUGAUUUUAUUCUCUCUUUGGCUAUUAUUUGAAAUACAUACUUGUUGGAGAGAUAAUUAUUAGGUUAUUACUGUAAGCUAAGAUUAUUGAGAUUCUUGAUGUUGGCAGCCUCUAGUAUUAUCUAGAGAAGAAUUUGUGCUAUAAUCCAUUAAUAUAGGGGAAGAUUAUAUCAGACUAUGGUCUAGUGGUUUUCCCACUUUAGGUUUUUCAUGUAAAAAUUUGUAUCUUUUGUGGUUGAAUUUUACUUUGGAUUUAUUGAUUUAUUUUUCUACCUAUUUAUUUGUGGUACACAUCCUAUUUUAAUCACACAAAGAGGGAAAGAGUUUUGUUUCUACUUAAUUUGCAGCUGCUUGUGGCAGUCUAUUUCCCAACUGAGUGGUAUCAGAGCGUCAAGUUUUGUAUUUUUAAUUGUUUGUGUGGUUAAAUGGAGAAGUCCUUGGCAUGCAUGAUUAAACUAAAAUCAUGGAAUUAUGGUAUUUGAAAGUCUAGAAUGGAGGAUUUGUUAUACAUGAAAGACUUAUAUGAACCCAUUAAAAGCGAAGAAGUUAGACCCGCCGAUUUAGAUGAUAAGAAAUGGGUUCAAUAAAACCAGAAGGUUGUGGGUAUUAUUAAGCCACUGAUUGAUCAAAGUGUGUACCACCAUAUAGCAAAAGAAUCUAAGCUUGGUUUUUUUUUUUUGGAGAAAAUUAGAGACAAUUUAUGAGCAGCCGACAAUACAGAAUAAAGUCAAUUUGAUGAAAAGGCUUGUUAACUUGAAAUAAAAGGAGGGGCGCAGUAUAACUGAACACACUAGUGAGUUUCAGUGCUUGCUUGAUUAGUUAACUGCUAUAAAAAGUAUUUUAGAUGAUGCGUUACAAGUAUUAUUGUUGCUUAGUUCUUUGCCUAACGAGAGACAUUAGUGGUGUCAGUGAAUAAUUCAGCGCCGAAUGAGAAAUUAACUUUGUAUAUGGUUACAGAAUGAAGAAUCUAGAAGAAAGAAUGUUGAAGCAGUUUCCUCUGAGUCAGAAGCACUUGUUUCAGAAAAGUAAGAAAAACGGGGAAGAAGCCAAAGUAUAAAUUUUUGCCAGCAAAACAAUGAUCAUCUAAGUCCCAGAAGAGAAACCUCAAGUGCUUUCAUUGUCAGAAAAUGGGUCACGUUAAAAGGGAGUGUAGAAUAUGGAAAAGAGAAUAGGUGAAAGAAAAUGGUGAUGCUUAGAAAAAUGACAAAGAGAACACUGCAGCCAUACUUGAUGGUGAUUUGGGUAUUGUUUAUAUGAGAGUUCAAUAAAUCUCGCUUGCCAUACCAGUGAUUGGGUGAUUGAUUCAGGUGCUUCAUUUCAUAUUACUGCACGUCGUGAUAGCUUCACAUCCAAUGUUAAUAGUGAUUAUGGCCAUGUUCAGAUGGGAAAUAAGGGGGCAUAGGUGAUAUUUGCUUGGAAACCAACAUCGGUUGUAAAUUGUUGCUUAAUUAUGUCAGACAUGUGCCUGAUAUUAGGCAAGCUUGGUGAUGAUGGCUAUACUAACCCAUUGGUGAAAGGAAAAUAGAAGCUUAUCAAAGGCUCCCUAGUGUUAGCUAAGAGGAAGAAAGUAAACACCCUCUAUAUGUUAGAAGCCAAGAUUAAGAAAAAAGAUGUGAAUGUGGCUGUAAAAAAUUAUGCCAUUGAGACAUAGCAUAAAAGGCUUGGUUAUAUUGGUGAGAAAGGGUUGGAAACCCUUGUCAGAAAAGGAUUUCUACCCAGCUUCAUAGGUGUGUCUCUCAAGACUUGUAUUCAUUGCUUAGCUGGAAAGACACACAAAGUAGUUUUUAAAAAAUUUUCUCCAUCUAGAUAGUCAGAAAUACUUGAUUUGAUUCACACAGAUGUUUGCAUGAUGCAAAGUAGAUUAAUAGAAGAUACACUUUAUUUUGUGACUUUUAUUGAUAAUUGUUCUAGAAAAGUGUAAGCUUUUACUUUGAAAUUCAGAGACCAGGUGCUUGACAAUUUAAAUUCUUCCAUGCUUAUGUUGAGAGAGAGAUAAGAAAAAAAUUAAAAUGCAUCAGGGCAGAUAAUGGUGGUGAGUACAAAGGACCAUUUGAGCAGUAUUGCAGAUCCCAUGGAAUAAGACUUGAGAAGACUGUACCAAAAACCGCACAGCAGAAUAGUAUUGCAGAAAGGAUGAACAAAGCAAUUGAAGAAAGGGUCAAGUGUAUGCUCUGUGAUGCUAAGCUUCCUAAAUCUUUCUAGGCAGAGGUUAUGCGUACUAUAGUUGACUUGAUUAACAUUUCUCCUUCAGCUCCAUUAGAUAGCAAUAUACCUGAGAGAGUUUGGACUGGAAAAGAUGUCUCUCAUAAACACUUAAGAGUGUUUGGUUAUAGAGCAUAUGUUCAUAUCCCAAAAGAUGAGAGAUCGAAGCUUGAUGAUAAAGCCAAAGAAUGCAUUUUCUUAGGCUAUGGGCAUGAAGAAUUUGGGUACAUAUUAUGGGAUCUAGUGGCAAGAAAAUUGAUCAGGAGUAGAGAUGUUAUAUUCCUUGAAGAUCAUAUAUUUGGUAAUGCAGAGAAGAGUAAUGAGCCUCAGUUAUCUCCAGAUAUUCCUAUAAUUCCAACUUCAGUUUCUCCAGCUGUAGUUCAUAAUGAUCAUGGGGGAGCUGGAGAGACUAAUAAUGAUAGUCCAACAGAACUAGUUGACCAGGGACCUCUAGAAUCACCUGCACCACUAAUUGAGCCAGAAUUAAGAAGAUCUACCAGAGAACGGCGACCUUCCACUAGAUAUCUUCCACAUAAGUAUGUGAUGCUUACAGAUGAAGGGGAGCCAGAACGUUUUGAAGAAGCCAUAUCUCACCAACAUAAAAGCGAGUGGGUUAAAGUCAUGCAAGAGGAGAUGAAAUGCUUGAAUGAAAACUAUACUUAUGACUUAGUAAAGCUUCCUAAAGGAAAGAUGGCACUAAAGAACAAAUGGUUUAAUAGGUUGAAGAAUGAAAAUAACUCACAAUAGUGAUACAAGGCUAGAUUGGUUGUGAAAUGUUUCGAUCAAAAGAAAUGUGUUGACUUUAAAGAAAUAUUUUCUCUUAUUGUGAAGAUGUCGUCUAUCCGAGUUGUUCUAGGAUUAACAGCUAACUUGAACUUAGACACUGAACAACUUAAUAUAAAGACAACUUUCUUACACGGUGACUUCAAGGAGGAAAUAUACAUGGAGCAACCUGAAGGGUCCAAUGUCAAAGGCAAAGAAGAACUUGUGUGCAAGUUAAAGAAAGUUUGUAUGGGCUGAAACAAGCACCAAGACAAUAGUACAAGAAGUUUGAUUCUUUUACGGAGAAUCAUGGUUUCAGCAAGACUAUGUGCGACCAUUGUGUUUUUAUAAAGAAGUUUGGAGAUAAUGAUUUCAUUAUUCUUUUGCUUUAUGUAGAUGACAUGUUGAUUGUUGGCCCGGAUGCUCGUAAGAUUGACAAUCUAAAGAGAGAACUUAGCAAGUCUUUUGCAAUUAAGGACUUGGGACCGGCGAAACAAAUUCUUGGCAUGAAGAUUUCCCGCGAUAGAAAAGUUUGGAAGUUAUGGUUAUCUCAAGAAGCAUAUGUUGAAAGGGUUCUUGAAAGACUUAACAUGAGCAAGGCAAAAUCUGUUUGUUCUCCACUUGCAGGCCAUUUCAAGCUUAAUUCUGAGCAUUGUCCCACAAGUGAGAAAGAGAAGAAAGAGAUGAAAGAAGUUCUUUAUGCUUCAGCAGUUGGUAGUCUUAUGUACGCCAUGGUUUGUACAAGACCAGAUAUUGCUCAUGCAGUUGGAGUAGUUAGUCGAUUUCUCUCCAAUCUGGGCAAAGAGCACUGGACAACAGUGAAGUAGAUUCUCAGAUAUCUCAAAACCACUUCCAAGGCAUGUUUAUGUUUUGGUGGUGACAAACCUAUAUUACAAGUGUACACAGAUGCAGAUAUGACAGGAGAUGUUGAUUCGAGAAAAUCUCUAUCAAGAUAUUUGCUCACCAUUGUAGGGGGAGCUAUCUCAUGGCAAUCCAAACUUCAGCAGUGUGUUGCCUUGUCUACCAUAGAAGAAGAGUAUAUUGCAAUCACUAAAGGUUACAAAUAAACCUUGUGGAUGAAGAAUUUUCUACAAGAGUUGGGUGUGAAACAAAAUAUCUUUGUUGUGUAUUGCGACAAUUAGAGUGCCAUUCACUUGGCAAAGAAUUCGACAUACCAUUUGAAAUCUAAGCAUAUUGAUGUGAGGUAUCAUUGGAUACGAGACGUGCUUGAGAAGAAACAGUUGCAGGUUGAGAAGAUACACACAACAGAGAGUGGGUCAUAUAUGAUGACAAAACCAUUACCUAAGGAGAAGCUGAAAAGCCGUAUGCAGAGAGCGGGAUUGGUAGUGCCCCCCACAUGAUUCGGAGAGGGAGAUUUGUUGGGCCCAUCUCAUUUGGAGGCCAAAAGGCUAAAGUUUAAUAAGUUUGGAAAAUUAAGUAAUGAAAAGAGGCUUAAAAUGAAAUUUGCCUAUAAAAUGAAGUGAAAGACGCUGCCUUAGAUAAUUUUGAGAGUGAAAAAGCGGUGAAAGAGAGAGAGAAAAGACAAUAGAUGCUUUUAUUUAGGAAUAGUAAUUUUAAUCUUUCAUUAGACGAUCGGAAGGCGAUAUUAACUCUUAUUUCUCUUAAAUUUUUAGCGGAAGUUCUUGGCAUCGGCGCAUCGGCCUUUACAAUCCUACUAGCGUUGAUUUUUAUUUUAUCCUCUCUUUGACUAUUAUUUGAGAUACUCACUUGUUGGAGAGAUAGUUAUUAGGUUGUUACUGUAAGCCAUAUUGAGAUUCUUGAUGUUGGUAGCCCAUAGUAUUAUCUAGAGAAGAAUUUGUAUUGUAAUCUCAUUAAUAUAAUGGAAGAUUAUAGCGGACUACGGUCCCAUGAUUUUUCUCGCUUUAAGUUUUUCACGUAAAAAUAUGUCUCUUGUAGUUGGUUUUUGCUUUGGAUUUAUUAGUUUAUUUUUCUGUCUAUUUAUUUGUAGUGCACAUCCUAUUUUAAUCACACAAAGAAGGAAAGAGUUUUUUUUUUCCGCUUAAUUUACAGCUGUUUGUGGUGGUCCUUUCCCAACAAUGUCUUCUGCAGUAAGCACAAAAACAAUGUAAUGUGUUUAUGCAAAUAUAUGAGAAACAAUAAAUAAAUCAAAAUGGAGUAAUAUUUAUCUGAAAUUUCUAGAAGUUUAGAUGAUCUAAAUUAGGGGCGAAGCCAAAAAAAAAUUCAUGGGUAGGCUAAAUUUUUUCCAAAUCCAAAUAUUAUCUCGGCUAAAAAUAUAAAUCUGAAAGAAAUUUUUUUUAAUACAUAAGAAAAUAUAUCAUAUCUAAGAAGCAAUUUAGUCACAAUUAAACACUAUUAAGUUUUGCCUUACCAUACUUUCGAGAAUUAAACCCAUCUAUUAUCGAAUUUAAAUUGAUGGUGCUUACAAGUUCUCUUUUAACAUAGAUAACUAUACAAUCUGAUAAAAAUUCCUUCUCCUUCUUAUUUUAAAUUGGUGUUUAUGCUCGUUUGGUCAUUGCAGCCAAAACAAGGUAUAAAUAUAAAAGAAGUUAAAAGACGUAAUCACAAAUUCACUAAUAAAAGCUAUAGAACCGUCAAUCUAUCAUGAAAUACAGGUUAUGCAACCUAAGAAAUGGGUGAAUUGGGCUUCUAAAAAUUUAAUCAAUUAAGAAUUAAUGCAAUUUAAACAAAGUAACCAAAUUCGAAAUAAACAAUUAAUGUGCAAUGAAAAAUAAAGAGGUAGGGUAAGAGAGACCAAACACGUGAUUUUUAUGUGGUUCGGUCAUUCGUGCCUACGUCCACGCCUUCAAGCUCACCGGACUUAAGGAUUUCACUAAGUGAUUCUCCAAGACUUCAACAACUCUUACAAUUGACUUCCAAGGAGUCAAUAGAUCUUUACAACAAGAGAUUAUCUUCAAUCUCUUAACCCAAGUGUAUCCCAACACUUACAACCUCUUAACUUGAUUUUACAAAAAUGAUUACAAAUAAAUUUUCCUCACAAUUUGUUUGAUUACAAAUGAAAAUUCAACAUGUGUGAAUAAAUAAAAUGAAUACACAAAUUUUGUUCUCUAAUUGCAGAGGAUUGCUCAAUGAUAACAAUGGUUGUCUCUCUUCAUUUUAAUUUAAUUGAAGUCAUUUUAUAGUUGGAGCAGAAAAUUAGCUGUUAUUGACUUUUUAGUGAUAAUCGGCUUGUCGUUUUAUGUUAACUUUGUCGCUUGAUGUUACUGCUACAGUCAAGGAUUUGAAUGUUUGCACAUCUAGUUUGUCACUUUUCAUUUUUCAGUUAGUCAAUUUUACUCCAGAGAGCUUUUGCUUGAUAACCAGUUUGUUGCUUUGAUAAAUCCAGUUAGCCGUUUGCUACAGUGAAACAUCUAUUUUCUAAAAUUAUAAUGUUACCCUAAAACUUUAUAAAAUUAUAUUACGUCCCAAAUCUUUAUAAAACUUUGUAAAUAGAUCAAUUUCCAGAAUUUUAAAAUAAUACUUAUUGAUUUCAAAGUUCUCAAAACUUUCUAAUUUAAACCAUAAACUUGAAAACAACAAAUUUCAUAAAAUAAUUUUCUUGUUUCAAAAGCAUAAUAUGUAAUUAUUUGUUUAUAUAAAACAUGUGGUUUGUUAUCAUCAAAAUAACAUUUUAUAGCUAUAUAGCCUAACAUGUCACUAUGACACACAUUGACACUAUCCAGAAGCCAAAAAAUAUAUUUAAUUAACAAAUUAACAUUAUGUAUAAUAUCUCUCUAUCAAUACUGAAUUGAAUCUAUGAUCCAUCUAUAUCAAUAAUCAAUUUCAAAUAUAUCUAAUCUAUCAAAAAUUAAUUUAAAAUUUUGAUUGCUAGAAUUUAAUGGCUAAAUUAUCUUCAUUUGACCUAACAAUAAUUUAAUUUUACACAACAAAAUUGGAACAAAAGUUAAGGAACAUAAUCUUUAGUCCUUACUACCUAACAAUUAAUAAGUGUAUUGUAAAUGAUUGAAUAAACAAUAAAUUUAUUAUCUAUUCUUGCCAAGAAGAAGAAAAAGAAUUGAAGAUGCCAAGAAAGAAAGAACGUUCUGGAAUCUUGAAUGAAAUAAAUGCUCUCUUUUUCUAUUUUUUUUUAAAGACUUUUUCUAUUUAUUUAUUUGAAUGACAAAGUUGUAAAUUAAUAUAGCAGUACUAUUGUAAAUAAAAUAGUGGCAAUUUUGUAAACUUUGUAUUAUGGCAUUUUUGUAAAUUUUCUAAAAAUUUUCCAGCCCACUUGGAGCCUCGCCAUUGAUGUGAAGAGCAAUGUUAGGUAUCCCAACAUAUAAGUCCCAAUUUGAGUCCCUACUAACGUGAAAUUCAUCUAUUGAACGGUGAUUAAGUAAUUUUACUAGAUAUGAGAUCCAUCAUUCAAUUGAUGAGUGACACAUAUCAUUAUGAGUCAAGUUGAUACUCAAAUGUUGGGAUCCCAAACAUCAUUGCUUAUCUAAAUUUAUUGUAGCAUUAUAUGUUUCUUGUUGUUACACGACAUCCCUCCUCAACAGAAAAUUAUUCAAUAAUUUCAUAUCAAUCGAAUACUUUUGCUGUGUUACAAAGUGGCCUCUAGCAGGUUACCAAAUUGAUUCACAAUUUGUCAGAUCAUUUUACUGGAAAUUAAACUAUUUCAACCAACUAAUUAUGCUUAGUGAUGGUAAAAACUCAGGUCGGUCCCAGAUACAGCAAUACUCAAAUUUGGCCCAAGCAUUUUUUCCUAACACUCAGGUUGGGCUUAAAAACUCGGCACCAAAUGGAUUAUUUUUUAUGGGCUUAAAAAUUUUAAGAUUUUAUAUUUAAUAAUAUUAUACAUGUAUAUUUGCGAUCACCUCAUAUUGAUAAAAAGUCUGGAGAAUAAUUUGAAAUGGAGAUCACAGAAACAGAAAGGCAUGAAUUGUGCAAGAAGUUCUUUGGAGUUUCAAACUUUUAACCCAAUUCAUUAUAUUGAAUUUACUUACUUUUAACCUAAUUCAUGAUAAGCAGUCGCAAAUUCUAUUCGCGAAUUCUUAUGCUACCCUUUUGACAUCCAUACAUGUAUUAGUUCAACAAUUUCUUACAUCAUAUAAACCCGGACUUCUUUUUUACAUUAUAAACAUUUUGUAUCUUUUAUUCAAAAACAUCAUGAUUGUAGAAAUUGAACACUAAAAUAAUUCAGAAAAUACUACAGGUUAAUUUUUAGUAUUAAUGGGUUAGUUUCUGUUGAGUAUAUUAUAUUAUACAAAGAAUAGUCUAUUGACACUAUUGGACCAAAAAUAGAAGAGGCUCAAUCAAGACCCAAAUAAAUUUAAUCUCAAUAAGGCCUAUGUAAUAAAUUUACUCUCAAUUAAACCCACAAAGUGCUGGACAAACUACCUAGGAUAAUCCUUCUAAGUAAUAAGACUUCAAAGCCUAAAAGAUCUCAAAGUCCAAGGCUAAAAGGUUCUAAAGUCCUAGGAUUAUAUCCUAAAACAAACCACCUAGGAUAAUCCUCCUAGAUGAUGAAGCUUCAAAACCCAAAAGGUACCGAUGUCGUAGGCUCAUAUUCUAAGACAAACUACUUAUGAUAAAUCUCCUAAGUUCUAAGGUUCCCAUCAUCUUAGAGUCUUAGUAAAAACAAUCUAAGGUUAAAAUGUUUCUUUCUGUAAUCUAUAGAAAAGUUUGCAUAUCCAUGUGUCAAUUAAUAUAGGCACAAACAAACAAGUGUCGCCAGAUGUGAUACGAACAAUGACACUUGUCAUCAAAAUAAAUAGGACUCAAGUCAAAUCGGUUUGGAGCAUAACAAAAAGUUAUUUGAGCAUGUUAAUGAAAUAGCAAUGAGAAAAGGAUUCACCCAGCACAGCUUGCGUUAGCCCGGCUUCACCACCAAGGUGAUGAUGUGUGUCCCAUAUCUAGAACCACCAAGUUCGAACAGCUCAAUGAAAAUAUUGAAGCUCUCACAGUGAAAUUAGCUCCAGAAGAAAUGGCUGAACAUGAUUCCAUUGCUUUGGCGGAUGUUGUAAAGGGUGAUCGACAUCCGGAUACAGUAACUACCUACAAAGACUCUGAUACUCCACCUCUGUCUUAAUGGAGACCUUCUUAAAGGAAGUGGAUAGAAUCCAAGCGCUUAAAUAUAAUUAAACCUACUUACAAAAUACCCGAGACAUUAAAUAAAACAAGAUGGCUGCAAUGUUCUAAAAUUUCUAGAUGCGUUGAAAUUGUCGACCCGCUUGCUUGUGAUGCAGCUAUCUGGAAUACAACCAGAUAAAUUAAUAGCAAGGAUCCUAAAAAAUAUAUUUAUUCAAAAAUUAUUAAUUAUAAUUAAAUUAAUAAAUUAUUAAUUUAUGAAUAUAUUUCUUAUUUUAAAAAAUAUGAUCACGUUCAUAAAAUUUCUAUUUUCCAGAGAAACCGAAAAUAGUAAUUAACGAGUUGUAUUGCCCUAACGGAAUGAAUGGGUGUUAAGCACCUCUUACAGCAGAAUUUUAUGUGGCUAUCAAAUUAUUAAAAGUAUCACCAAAAAUGAUAAAGAAUGAAAGGUUGAAGUGGCAUCUUUCCCCUACAAACUGUCUCGAUUAAUUAAAAGCUAUUUUAAAUAUUUAAAAUCAAAAUAUUGUCCUAAUCAACUUUUCAUUUUAUGCACCGUUGACAGUACAUAUUCAUGCCAUCACUCAUACUGUGAUUAACAAGGAAAUUCUACAAAGGGCAGGGUAAAGAAACAAGCAAGCGAAGAAACAAGGAGAACAUUAAUGAACAUAAAACAUUACUAUGAAACAUUUGAAGCAUGUGAGCUUUGAUGAAACGUUUAGAUGUUUUCAUAAAUAUAAGUUAAAUUAUGAUAUUUGAUUACAUCCCAAAUAUAAGUUAAAUUAUGAUAUUUGAUCACAUCCCAUUUUCAACGGCAAUCGUAAUAUGCAAGAUACAAUAGAUAUCAUACAGUUUCCAACUGAUCCAUAUCAUCGUAUUAUGUGCUUACUAAUCAUGAAGCAGAGUAACUGCAGCUCAGUGCUUGGUUUUAGGCCUCUUCACUAUCAUCACCGUGCAAUGAGCAUGAUGAGCACAAUAAUCACUUACACUGCCCAAAACCGCCCUGCAAAAGAAUCGAUCUCAGUUAUAAAUCAUCAGAAUCCCCAACAGGAAACAAAUGAAACCUACUAACCCUCUCAUUCAACAAAAUUUGUAAAUCCAUAGUACGUAUGACAUUCCCAGCGAAAGAAUACUGAAAUAGAAACCGAUCAAUAUUUUUUUUUUUUUUUCGAAAGGUAGAGGAGAAGGCAAAUCCCCAAUUAAAUUUUUAGUAUCAAUUUGCAUUUGGGUGGCCAGUCAAAGAAAAGCGUUUUACUACAUCUCAAUGACAUUUUUUCCACUCUAUUUUCAUCUGGUUAUAGCUACUCCAUAAUAAAGAAUAAAAUAUUGAUUCAUAUAAGCUUUUACAAAUAGUACUACAACAGAUUUGAGUCCUCAUUACAACUGAAAAAUAUGAAUAAUAACCAAAACAGUUCACCAUACCAAGUUCCACUCGAGAAAAUAUGAGAUACCAAAGGAAACAACUUAUGGUAGAUUUAUACCUUUUGAUCGCUCCAUAGCCAUGACUACCAACAACCAAUAUGGAGGCAUGAUGCUUCUCUACAGCCUCACAGAGGAUAUUUCGAGCAUCUCCUUCCACCACCUCAACAACAAAGUCAUGCACCUAAACAAAACAGAACUACUAAUUUACAGAAAUGAUACCAGAAGAAAAACAAUUAAGUAUACCCAUUAUAAUCUGGUAUACGGAAACUGGGGAAAGAUAAAAGGAUAAGCAUGAAUACUUAUCCAGAUCUACCAAUUUAGAAAGGUUAAUUUUGGAUUACCGAUCGUAAAAUGACAGUCCUCGAAGUACCUCUAAACCAUUCUAAACCUUAAUUUACCUCUGUUUGGGUUUAAAAAAUAAAUAAAAAUCAGGGGGCAUUGAUGAAAAUUUUUUCGUCUUCUUAACAGAAAUGAGGGAAAGUUUAUGUUUAGAGGAGUAUUUUGAAGAUUAUCAUUUCACGAGUGGGGCUAUCUAAAGAUAGCUUUUUCCACCAAUGUUGUUAGUGGGAGUGUUCCGAACUAGUCUUGGUAGAUUUUUGAACUGUACUACAAACGUGUAUUUGUAUAUAGAAUCUCAGACGAUCCCAAGAUUGUAAUUUAUUUAUAGAUUGUAAUAUCAUUAAAAAGAAAUAACAAACUAAUCAUUACCGAUUUACUGCUACAGAUUUCUUUAGCCUUCUCCACAACCCUAGCAGCAAUCUUCUUCAAAUCUGAGUCCACAUAAGGCAAAACCUCGGCGGCUCCUGCGAUAAAUUAGAAUUAAAAACCAGGUACUUGAUCAUCAAGAAAGAAAGAAAAAACAAACAAACUAAAAUCGAAAAUUAAAAUCGAACAAAGUACGACAAAAUCUAUUACUUAAUUUCUAAGACUUGCAAAGCAAAGACAAAUACCAAAGGACUAAUUGAUAAUUAGUUAAAUUUAUAAUUACUUUACCAGGUCCAGCGAGGCCAACAACAGAAGAAGGGGAAGGUUUGGCGUGAACGAUGACGAGUUUGAAAGGAGGAUUUACAGUCGAAUUUGCGAAGAAAUGAUCGAGCGUCCAUUGAAGCGCGUACAUGCUGUGCUCGCUAUCGUCGAUCCCUACCACCAUCGUUUGUGUCUCAGCCGUCGCCAUUGAGACGAUGACGACUCAACCCUUUUUUUUUUCUUUUUUUUUCCUUUUUAGCUGUGUGUUAGUUAGAAAGUUGCAGAGUUUGUUCGAUUUCUAACCUAUAUAAGCGAAUAAAUCGAAGAGACGGCAAAAUGAUUAUCUAGAUAAGACGACAACGUAGCAAGUGAAGCAAGUUGCGGGCGAUUGGCGGAAAGUGCUUUAAGAGUCUGGAGUUUAUUUAUUUUUUUUUUUUUUUUUGAGAAGGUAAAGGUAGGGGUGGGUAAAAUCGAGUUCGGGUCGGGUUCGAGUCAAUUCGAUUGGGUUUUAGGUUGUUCAAGUUAGACAAGAAUUAAUCCGAAUAUAACAUGAAUUAAUGACCCGAUCCAAACAUAGUUCGGGUCGAUUCGGGUCGGGUCAUUAAUUCGGGUUAUGUUCGGGUUGGAUCGGGUUGGAUUUAAAACAGCUAGGAUUGAGUUCGUGUCAAUUCAGGUCAGUUCAAGUCCAAUCGAGUCAGUUCGGGUCGGUUGAAAUCGGGUCAAUUCGGAUCAAAUUUGGUUAAUACAAUUUUGAGCUCUUUUUUUCCUAUUAUUGUAGUUUUUAUGAAAGUUUUAAGACAUUUUUCUUAAUUGUAGUCAUUUUUACUAAUUUUCAACUGAAAAAAGAAAAGAAAAUGUUAUUAAAUCAAAUAAAUAAAGUUAAAAUGCUAUAAUAGGAUUAUUUGCCUAUUGGCUUGGAGGGUAGAAUUAGGACUAUUAUUUGCUCAAUCAACAAAAUCCAAAGUUCCAAACUUAAUAAAAGUUAAAAUUAAUACAAACUUACAAAGUCCAAAGCACAAUUUCAAAAUAUUAGUCUUUAAAAGUUUGAAACACAAACUCACAAAGUCACAAAAUUAAAUUGUUCAGAAACAUAAAUCACAAAGUUCAAAGUUCAAACAUUAAAACUAAAUAAGCUUUCUUGGUUCCUCCACCUUGGUUCCUCCAUGUCCGCCUUGGCCGUACAGCAGAACAUUAAAACUAAAUAAGCCACCUUGGUUCCUCCAUGGCUCCAUGCAAGUACUUUGACAAGUUCUAAAUUCAAAUUUUUGAACGCUAAGUUCAAGUGCCGAUUGCCUAGAGAAAGAUUGAGGAAAUGUACAAUAAAUAUUUUCCUUAAGCCACGUUCCAAAUGAACAAACUCAAUUCAUAUAAAAAAUUGAGCAAAUAAACCAAAUUCAUAAGGUUACUCAUCAAACACAAAUACAAAUAAAUAAAUCCAAUUCAUAUCUUUAAUUAAGCUAAAUGAGUGUUACAAUCUUUCUAAUUUCUAUUAUAUCAUUAUAAAUUUAUAAUUACAAAUAAAUAUAUAUGUUUACCAAAUUUUUCAAUACACACUUGAUUAUAUAUUUCUAUUAUAUCAUGCUUAUUUUAUGGCAUUCAUCACCAAAUCAAGUUAAUAAUAAUACUAGACAAUAAUAACAUUCUAUCAACUUCAACUUGUCUAACUAAAACAAUUACAAAUUACACUUAAAAUUUAAAAAUAUAACAACUAUAAUUAUAGCUUAAAUUACAACCAAAUACUAAUACUAUAAUAUCAAAUUAUGAAUAAUAAUAUAUAUUAAAAGUUACCUUUCAAACAUCCAUAACACCAAUGUCGACGCCCACCGCUUCCACUGUUGAAGCUUGCAAUCUUAUAAGUUUUAUAAAAUCCAAAAAAAAAAAUUAAUAUGUAGAUGUUCUAUAUAAAGUUAUAAUGCAUUUUAAAUAUAUUAUGUAUUUAAUGUAUGAUAAAAAAAAUUAAAAACAUUACCUUCUUGUAAUUCCAUAUGAAACAUUUGCUCCUUGAUAUCUUCUUGGAGGUUGUAGACGGGAUUGGCAAAAGUUUAGACUGCAGCCAAUUUUCAGUGCAUAUCAAUGCCUCAACCAUAGCCGGAGUUAAAGAACUCCUAUACUCAUCAAUAAUACGACGCCCGGUGCUAAAGGCAGACUCAGAUGCCACUAUGGAAACAGGAACAACAAGGACAUCUCUUGCAAUUUUCUCAAGAAUUGGAUACCUCGAUCCAUUCACCCUCCACCAAAGCAAAACAUUAAGUUAAAGAUUGCUGAGAUCUUCAAUUGGGUCCUUCAAGUACCUUUCCACCUCAGAUACUACUCUUCUACUCUCAUUCUGAACAGAAACCUUCUUGGCAUAUCCAAGGAAAGGGCGAGAUACUUGAAAAGCAUCAUCAUAUUCACCACCAGCAACAUCCACCAAAUUAGCCUCAGUUGUAAAACGUUGAGAAGAACUUGUACCUCCAUAGCUGCCACUAAGACCACUCUCACCAUACAUCGAUAGUGUGGAACUAGCGGAGAAUGCACUAUAUGCAUCAUAAAACUCAUUCAACAAGUCCUUCACUGCUUUGGUCAUUUAUUCAACCAUCAAACUAUCAUUGCCAAAAAUGAUCUCAAAAAUAUGUUUAGCAAAAUUCAUUUUCGCUCGUGGAUUAAGAAUAGAGGCAAUAAUCAACAUUUUGUUUAUCUUUCCUGUGGACUCCCAAUACUUGUCAAAUUUUUCCCUCAUACUAUAAGGCAUAGAGGAUACCCAAGGAUCUGUACUUUCUUGCAGUGCAGUCAAUGAACUCUCAAUUAAGCCAAUAGUAUUAUAACAAAGAUUAGAACUCACACUCAAAGAGGCAGAAAACAAUAAUGUGGCAUCAUAAAAUACCUUCAAAAACUUCACAAUCCGUUCAGCACUCUCCCAAUCAUCCGGUCCAGGUGGGCCCACCCUUGUAACAUUAUUUUCUUUCUCAGCAAAGUAUGCCUCAUAAGGUUUAUCCACUUCUGACAUUCUAUCAAUUGCCGCUUGAAAUUUCAGUGCAAUCAUCAACAUCAAGUAAGUGGAAUUCCACCUGGUAGGACAAUCCAAAACAACAAUUCCUUUUGGACAAUUCACCUGCUCAACACAUUAUUUAAAUGUCCGCAGCCUCAUGCUGGAGGAUCUCACGUACUUCACUACAUUUCGAAUAGCGGUAACACUAGCAUGCAACUCUCCCAAUCCUAAGACAACAAUCAAAUUCAAAAUAUGUGCACAACAACGCACAUGCAUAUAUUGUCCCGCCAACACAAGUGCAUCAUCAUUCCUCCAACUAAGCAACUGCAUAGUGACAUAACUAACAACAAUAUCAUUUGCAGUGGCAUUAUCAACAGUUAUUGCAAACAACCUCUCUAUCCCCCAAUCUUGUAGGCAAGCCACAAUCUUUUUACUAAUCGACUUCCCUCUAUGAUCUUCGAUUGCGCUAAAACGAAUAAUCCUCCUAUUCAAACACCAAUCACUAUCAAUAAAAUGAGCUAUAAUCACCAUGUAGCUCAUGUUUUGAACAGAAGUCCAUAAAUCAGUUGUAAGAGACACCCGCUGCUUGUUGUUGCAAAUUAAACUCUUCAACAUUGCCUUUUCCUCCAAAAAUAACUCCAUAACAUCUCUACCAAUUGUUCUUCGAGAUGGCAUAACAAACUAAGGGAUAGCUACACUGCAGAAAUGCCUAAAUCAUUUGUUGUCUACAAAACUGAGCAGCAACUCACCCAUAAUAAUAAUUUUAGUUACUGCCCUUCGACACGCGUCUUGACUCCAUCCUUUAUCCAAAACCAAAUUACUUGCAUUUUCUUCGCCGCCCUUGGAUGUCAAAUUUUGUUGACUUCCACUUUGUUGUGCCCGAAAUGUCUUGUAUGAUUCACAUGUCUUUAUAUGCCUUGUCAUAUUUGUAAUCCCAUCAAGCCUUGAAUGACAUUGAUAUUGCUUACCACAAUAGUUGCACAUACAUUUGUUUGGAUUAUAUUCGAGUAAAGUGAAAUAAUUCCAUAUUGCCGAUCUUUUCUUCAUUGGCGGUCUUUUCCGUUUCGCCUUUUCCUUUCCUCUAUGGGUUCCUUCCAUUUGUACACUUUGGUCUUCAUCGUCACUCAUCGAAUUCGAUCUUGAGUGUCCAAGCAUCUGAAUAUUCAAAAUAAUAAUUAAUAAUAAUUAAUUCAAAAAUCAAAACACAUAAAUAUUGUUUCAAUUAUUAACAAUUAUCAAUUAAUAUUAUUUCAAUUAUUAACAAUUAUCAAUUAAUAUUAUUUCAAUUAUUAACAAUUAUCAAUUAAUAUUAUUUCAAUUAUUAACAAUUAUCAAUUAAUAUUAUUUCAAUUAUUAACAAUUAUCAAUUAAUAUUAUUUCACUUAUUAAUAAUUAACAAAAUUUUUAUUAUUCGCUGGCUAACACCAUUUUCGUAUGUCCUUUAUGCUUGAUUGUUAUAGUCUAUUCGCUAAAGAGAGCAAACGAUAACAAAUUAAUAAUCAAUGAAAUAAAAACAAAACCCACCAAACCAAUCAUCAAUUCCUUUUUAUAUAUGACAAAAAAAUAAUUUCUGAUGAGCUCAAUAAUUAACAAAAUUUCUUUGAUUUUAUUACUAAUAUUUAUAAAUACAUAAUUAGUUAAUUACAACAAUUAAAUAAUAACCAUUAACCAAUUACUGAAUUAUAUAAUAAACUAUUUACCAUAUAUAAUUAAUUAAUUAUAUAGUGUAUAUAUAGUUAUAACUUAUAUACCGUGAACUGAAGUGAAAACUGAAAAGACGUGGAAGGUGGAAACCGGAAGCACUCGGGUGGAGAGGAUUCGGCCUUCAAGCAGCAGAUCGGUGGCCACGGCUCACGGCUGGACGGACGAGAUUUCACUUGGCAGCAGAUCGCGGCUUCACUUGGGAGUUGGCAGCAGCAAAUUGCGGAGAUGCGGAUGGCUCACGGCUCACAGCUCACGGCUCACGGCUGGACGGGUUUGACUGGCUCACGGCUGGUCGCGACUUCACUUGGCAGCAACAGAUCAUGAUUUCAGUCGCGGAGAUGCGGACGGCUCACGGCUCACGGCUCACGGCUCACGGCUGGUCGCGACUUCAGUUGGCAGCAACAGAUCAUGAUUUCAGUAGUUGGCAGCAACAGAUCGCGUCUUGUGGUCGCUGGUUGCAGACUUGCGGGUUGCGGCUGCCUUGUUCUGUUGUUCAAUUGUUUGUGUUUGUUUAGUUGUUUGAACUUGUGAGUUGUGGCUGACAUCGUGUGUGUGUGUGUGUGUGUUAGGUUUGCGAGUGAAUUGUUGAGACUUGAGUGACUGUGUGCAGCGUGUGUGUGUGCUGUGCAGCUCGUGUGUGUUCACUGAACGUCUUGUGCACCUUGUGACUUCUUUUCUGUUCUGUGUGUGUGCUGACUGUUGUGCAAGUGUGCAACUUAUGACUUGUGUUGUGUGUGUGCAGCACAGCAGCAGCGUAUGUGUGUGUGGCUGUGUGUUGUACAGCUUGUGACUUGUGUGUGUGUGUUGUGCAGCAGCCGAGCAGCGUAUGUGUGUGUGCAGUUAAAAGACUUCCGAAAAAGCCUAAGAGGCGCAAUUUUGCAACUUUGAUUGGCUUUGGAGAAUUAAUCAAUUCAUCCAACAAUUGAGUUUAAUUCUGAAAAGUUAAUUUUAAUAUUUAUUUUUUAUUAUAAAUUAAUUUUAAAAUAUUAAAAAUUAAUUUUAAUAUCUGAUAAAUUAUUUUAAAAAUCAUUUUUAGAAAAAUCACUUUAUUUUAUAGUGGAUUUUCAGAUGUAUGAAAUGAAUAAUUUUUUUAAAUUUAAUUUUAUAUCUAAUCAUUCCAUAUAUUAUAAAAAUAUAAAAUUAAUCUUAUUAAUUAAAAAUAAAAUUAUUAACCUUAAAUAUAUUAUUAUUGUUGUUACUAUUUAUAUUGCAAUAACAAAAUAAAAAAUAAAAUUAAUAAUAAAAAAUAUUUAUUUUAAUUAUCAAUUAUUUUCUAUACAUAAAAAAUAUUUUAUAAACAUGUUGAUAAAUGUCUAAAUAAAUUUUACUUAACAUUAUAUCGAACUCAAUCAUUUGUAUUCUUACAGUAGUUUAAUAAGUAAAAUUUAUUAAACACAUACGAUUAUUUUUAAAACUCACAAUAUUUUUAAAAAUAGAAUUUAUUAAGCAUUUAAUUAUUUUUUUCGUAACUGUUUAUUUAUAUACCAUAGAUAAUAGUAAUUAUUUAAAAGCAUAUUAUUACCAAAUUGGCCCUAAAAUUCAAAUGUUCUUUGGAUGUUUUUGUAAUUUUGUUAUCAACUUAUCAAUAGGAAACUUUUUUUUGUAAUUUUACAACCCAGCCCAUACUAACAUGGGCCAUAUGGGGCAGGCCAAGUUCGAGAUAACAAACCUAGUAACCUACAGCAAAUAAUGUCCAUCACCACUUUGAUCAGGUUAAAAAAAAAAGUUCCCAUCAGAAUUGCAUUUUUCAGUUUUUUUUUUCAAAAGGAUCAGUUUUCCCCAGUGUUAGUUUGCCUGAUGCCCAAUUGAAAUCAAAUCGACUUUGUCAAAGUAAUUGAAAUCAAAACGACUUUUUUUUCGUAUUUUAUAUACUUACUUCUUUUAUAAGUAUAUGUGUCUUCAUCUGAUUAGGCUCCAUUUCGAGUGUGGUUACAAUGCCAGGAGGCAAUCUUUAGGCAUGAUGACCUAAAACAACUGAUUUCUUUAACUGAUUACUAUAUUUAACUAAUUAGUUAAAUUUUAAAAAUUAAAAUAGGAUAACAUACUAGUUAAAUUUUUUUGAAAAGAUAAUAUUAAUAGAAAGGAAAAAAAGAUAAAUAAAUAAAAAAUGAAAGAAAAAUAAUAUCUUAUAAAAAAUCAAGAAAAAAAAGUUUAUAUAAUAAAAGAAAAUAAUUUGUUUGUUAUUUUAUAUGUGUUAUUUCAUAUUUGACAUUAAAAAUUUCAAGUGUAUUGUUAUUUGUCUCAAGUUUAUUAUUUUAAAUACCCCUAAAAUUUUAUUUUCUUCCCCAUUUCAUGUUUGACAUUCGUAUUUCAUAUAUAUCAUUAAUAAUUACUUUUUUAUCGUUAUAUGUUUUAUAUAAAACAAUACUCAUAUUUAAUGUUUAACAUUACAUAUUUAACUUGUAAUGUUUCAUAGUACAUAUUAUUAUUUUAUGUAUAAAUUUUAUGUUUUAUGUUUAUAUCACAUGUUGCAUCUUUGAAAUUUGGUGUUUCAUGUUAGAAAUGGCACAAAUUUUUUUUAUUUUCCUACUUGUUUCAUGUUUGACAUCCGUGUUUAUGUAUAACAUUGUUUGUCACAUAUGUCAAGCACCAUGUUACAUGUUUGCUUUAUACUCAUGUUUAAUAUCUAAAGUUGCAUAUUUAACUUUCAAUUUUUCAUAUCUCAUAUUAUUAUUUCACAUAUAAAUUUCAUAUUUCAUGUUUUCAUCACAUGUUGUAUCUUUAAAGUUUGGUGUUUAAUGUUGGAAAUGACGCCAAAAAUUUUUAUUUUCCCACUCGUUUCAUGUUUGAUGUUCAUGUUUCAUAUAUAACAUCAUUUGUCACAUGUAACAAGUAUCAUGUUGCAUGUUUACACUGUACCCAUGUUUAAUGUCUAAUGUUGCAUACUUAACUUUCAUUUUUGCAUAUAUCAUGUUGUUGUUGUUGUUUUAUUACAUGUAAAUUCCGUGUUUACAUUAUAUGUUGCAUAAGUUUAGUGUUUGAUGUCAUAAACAAAGGCAAAAAAAUUUGCAUUCCUAUUCAUUUCAUAUUUGACAUUCAUGUUUCAUGUACAACAUCGUCGAUCACAUGUAUCAACUAUCAUAUUACAUGUUUACAUUGUACCCAUGUUUAAUGUCUAAUGUUGCAUACUUAGCUUUUGUUUUUGCAUAUUUCGUGUUAUUUUUUCACAUGUAAAUUUCAUAUUUUAUGUUUACACCACAUGUUAUAUAAGUUUAGUAUUUCAUGUCAUAAAUACAGCCAAAUAAUUUUACACUCCUGUUUGUUUUAUAUUUGAUAUUCAUAUUUCAAGUAUAACAUCGUUGUCACAUGUAUCAACUACCAUAUUUCAUGUUACAUCGUACUCAUGUUUAAUGUCUACCAUUACAUAUUUAACUACUAUUUGCAUAUUUCAUGUCAUUUUUUUACAUGUCAUGUGUUACAAAUUUUAUGCUGCCUAAAACAAAUCAUCCUACAUCCUUUUUUCUUCACAUUUAAAUUUAAAAACCCGGCAAAUCGUCCCCCCACCCCUAAACCAAUGGCUAUUUUAGUUGAAAAAUACAAAACAUAGAAACUAUAAACUUUGACAAUAAAAUUCUUGAAAAUGAACUAAUAUACUAAAGGCUUAUGCAUAACUUAUAUCUAUUCAUCCAAUUCCAAUUACCAAACAUCACAACCUAAAUUUUAAUUGUUGCCUUAUAGCAAAAAUACUUAAAGACUGAAGAGAAAGAUGCCACCAUGAGGAAACAAUUUCAUAGAUAUUUCCAAUUAAUUGUAAGGUGGAGCUGUACUUUUGGUGAUUCCUACCUGGUAGCUUAAUUGGCUAAAACUCUUAGGUGAAUUAUUAAGUCUUCAUCUGUUUCUAGUUGAUUUAGGAAAAAAUCUUGCAUUAAGGGACUCUUAAUUCUCUUGAUUUAGAACCAUACUCUCAUUAGAAUAAGAAGUUUAUAAAUAAUUAUGUAACCAUUUAGAUUUUACCCAGUGCAUAAUCUUUCUCUUUCUUUAUCUUACUGUUGAGGGGAUUUAGCAUAAGAUUUCUAGGUAUCCAACCCAAAAGACUAGCCUUUUAGGUGGAGUGAUCUAUCUCCUUAUAAACCCAAGUAUCUCCUCUUUUCUAGCCAAUGUGAAACACAACUCAACAAUCCCCCCCUCGGACGAAACCACCGCCGGACUCCGGUCCUCUUGUCCGACACACCUGAGUUGUUCCACCACACAAACAAGUGGUAUCAGAGCUAUACCCUAGUAGUCGGAAUGUGGUGGUGAAACAACUCAGUUGUGUUGGACGAAAGGAUCGGGAUCCGACGGUGGUUUCGUCCGGGGGGGAUUGUUGAGUUGUGUCCCAUAUUAGCUAGUAAAUGGGAGAUGAUUGGGUAUAUAAAGUGGUAGGUCACUCCACCUAAAAGACUAGUCUUUUGGGUUGGAUACCUAAAAAGCUUAUACUAGGUCUCCCAACACUUACUAUAACAAUUUUUCUUCUUCAUGUUAUUUCUUGAUCUUUUCUUCUUCCAAUUUCAAAUUCAUAAAAUUUCAAUUGCAAUGUAUAUAUCUCAUCAAUUUCAAACUUAAAUAAUCAAUUAAAUAUACCGAUCAAGUAAUGCUCCACAAAAACAUGUUGCUUCUCCCCCUUCAACAUAAAAAAGGCAUAGUAUUUUGGCUUCCUCUUUUAACAGCAAAAAUGUUUAAGAUGCUUAUUACUCAAAAUAAAAACAAUAACAAAGCGGAGUUGCGAUGGCAUUUGCCUCUAUCAAUAACCAAGAAAGCAUAUAAUAUUCCAAGUAAGGGCAUGCAAAAAAUCAUAAGAGUAUAAGAUUGAACAUCAAUAUAUUUGCAAAUAGUCAAAAGGUAAGACGUUAAUUCAUCAACAAAGAUGAAUAACAUAGGGAUGGCAAUGGGGUGGGGUGGGGGUGGGGAGGCCUACCCCAUUCCCCACCCCGUUAGAAAUUUUUGCCUCCAUUCCCCACCCCAUUCCCCAAUAAAUUUAGUGGGGUGGGGAUGGAGAAUCCCCACGUGGGGAAUGAUUUCCCCAUCCCCACCCCAUUCCCCAUUUAUCUAUUUUAUAAUAUGUAUAAAUAUAUUAUUUUAGUAAGUUAAAAAUUAAAUAAAAUCAUCAUCAUAUUAUAAAGUAUUUAAAUUUUUUUUAAAAAAUAUCUAAAAGUUUGAAACAAUAUCUUAAAAUGAUAUUAAAAGUGAAAAAUAUUUAAAGAGUGUAGCACCUUAAAAGAUACGGGAUUGGGGUGGGGUGGGGAGUACAAAACCAAACCCCACCCCAUUAAGAAUUUGGGGAUUAUUUUCCCCCACUCCCCACCCCAUUCCCCAAAAAUUAUUCAAAAUUUUUCCCAUUUGGGGUGGGGCUCCAAACCCGUGGAGGAUUUUGCCAUCCCUUCAAUAACAUAUGCAGAGAAUGCAAGAGAAAAUGUUGGUACGGAAAAACAAAUAAGGAAACAAGAAAGGAUCUAUAAUGGUGGCUAUGGUGGUAGUGGUGGAGGAGGAAUGCCGAGAGAUUCAAAAAUCUAGUGCUGCCCGUCGAGAAGUCAUGGUGCUGGAGCUAAAAGGCUUCAAAUUGCGAGUGAAGGCGAUUUUGUUGCUCGGAGAUAGUACAAACCUUACGUAUAAAACCUUAUUAUUAUUUCAUACUCCAAGUAAUAAUUUAUCAUUAUUUUUUCAUUAUUUGUAAUUUUUUAAUUUUUAAGCGAAAAAAACUAUGGUGACAAAUUUAAAUUACCAAAAAUAACAACUUUGAGUCCAAUAGGUAAUUGGUAAGUUUUUUAUUUUAAAAAUUCAUUAAUACAUAGUGUUGCUUAAAUUAUAUUGCAUUACAUUACACUCGAUUUAAAAGAAUUUGUUAGUGAAAUCAAGAGCACUCAAUUAUAAAAAGGGAAAAAGUCACCUACAUCCCCAAGGCUCGCUUAAACGGUCACACAUACUCUCUUAAUUUCAAAAAUAAUUGUUAUACCCUUUGAUUAUAACAACCCAAAUAAAUAUAGGAAAAAGUAGGUUUUUAAAUUUUUAUUAAACCUUUUGAAGAUCGCUCUCAUAUAAUAUAUAAGAAUUCGUAUUCUAGAAAUCGUACCUUGAAAAUCCGAGUUGGCUUUUUCCGCUGAAGUGAUUUAGGCUCCUAGAUCACGAUCUGCCACCACCACUCCUGUUAGAUCACGAUCCGUCGCCACCACGCUUGCUAGAUCACGAACUGUCACCAAUGAUCUUCCAGGUUAUGACUCAGGUUCGAUCUGCACUUGACGUGUGGGCGCCUUUAUCACUACCAAAGCAACUAGCACGAGAAAAUUUUUCUCUCAAUAAUGGAGAGAAAAAUCUUAUUCUCUGAUCUGUAUAAAGUCUGCUGUACGGCCAAGGCGGAUGUACGGUACAGCAGAUUUUAUCUUAUUUUAUCAAUUAAAUUAUAUUAUAUUAUAUUAUUUUUUUUUUAUUUAUAUUUGUUACAAAAGUUUAUUUAAGGUCAAUUAUUGGGUUAUUGUAAUUAAGGGUAUAAUAGCCAAAAGGGGUUCGGUGUAACAAUUUAUAAAACUAAAAGAGGCUAUGUGACAAUUUAAGCAAAUGUUGGAGGUGUAUGUGGCAUUUCCCCUUAUAAAAAUAGAAAAAGUAAAAGCAAAUUAAUAUAAACAAAAUCUCCCCAAAAUAUGAACAUUAUCUAAUCCCAUUAUAAGCUAAGAAUAAUUUCAUUAAAAGCUUGUAAAUGAAACCUAUAAACAAAGGCAUCUCAAGACUCUGUAAUUAAAAAAAAUAUGCAUAAAGAAGAGUUAGGGUAUGCAUGUCAUACAUGAAUUAAUUUUCAUCAUCGUUUUCCAUUAAUGUCUUGAGCAAUGGAUGCUUUCCCUCAUCAUUAUCAUUAAGAAAAAGGUCUCGACCUGAUCUCCUAAAUAUCAAGUGAAUGACAAAAUUUACAGUACCGAUAUUCAACCCACAAUAAGCACCACAAUAAGUACCGAACGGUGCAUUUUGUGUUCAAUAUAAAAGGCUAUUGUUUGAACAAACAAAUACACUACACGCGCAUUAGAUCUCACACACGCAUUCUCCAUCACUCUCACUCUCAUUCACAUCAAAUCCACUCCUCAUUCAAGUUAGAAAUCUGAACAGCUAAUUCUCCCAAGGCAUUUUCUGUUAUACUCGUGGACUCUUCCUCAUUGUGUGAAAUCUGUCGGCUCUCUGUCACGGUGUAUCAUUCUCUUGGUUGUGUGAGGAAUUGAGUUGCAUCUUGGUGACUGACUUCACUCAUCCUCGAUUGCGGCAAUCAAUUUCUGUAGGUAGUUUGCUUCAUUAACUAGAAUUUUUUUGUACUAAUUAUUAAUUUGUGACAUCUUAGCUGCUAUUAUGUUAAUUUAUAUGAUCUGGAGCAUGUUCGACAGCCAUAGAAUUUUAUGUUAAUUGUCUAGUAAUUACGGAUGAUUAUGCAACAAAACAUGAUCUGGAGCAUGAUCGGCAGCCAUAGAAUUUUAUAAGUUUGAUUUGCAAGUCUAGCCUCAGGUAGGAUGCAACAAACAUUCAUGUGUAUUACAAAGUUAAUAGUAAGCACGAAAUAAAUAAAUAUAUUAUGUAGAUUCAGCUAGUAUAUAUUAAAUUUGUGUUCACAAUUUAUAUCAUUAGUUAGUUUAGUUUUGUAAGGUUGUGCUGAAUUAUUUUCAUUUUGUUACUUCCAUUUUGUCAAUGUGAAUUAUUUCAAUUUUGUAGAAAUAAAGAAUAUGGAAAAAGACAUCGAAGUUGAAGAGUUGGAGAAAAUUGAGGAGAACGAUGAGCCAAUAAUUGGGAUGUCAUUCGAUAGUGAUACCGAUCUGUUUAUUUAUUUCAAGGAGUACGGUAAAAGAAAAGGGUUUCUGGUUUUGAGGAGAACUAGUAGAAAGGAUAGUAAUGGGAUUCUUAGAAAUGUGACUUUUGCUUGUAGGAGAAAUGGUGAGACAAGAAGCAAAUCUGUGAAUAUUUUAAAGCCCCAACCUAAUGCAAAACAAGUUGCAAUGCAAGAUUGGGAGCUGGGUUAGGGGAUGAUGGAAAGUAGACAAUUCGAAGCUUAAAUCUUGAACACAACUUCAAUUCUUGAUUAAGUUUUUAAUGAUUUUUUUUUGCUGCUGUACGGCCAAGGCGGAUGUACGGUACAGCAGAUUUGUGUUUAUGUAAUAUAUUAGGAAUUAUUAAUUAUGUUUUAAAUAUAUUAAUUUUGUGUAUUUUUAUAUGUUUAUUAGGUAAAAUAUUAAUUUCCCGUAAUUCGAGGCUCCAAACAGAUAAACGGGGGUCAAAUUUGGAUUCUGGAGGUCCGAAAACCUUAAGAUCAGUCAAGAUCGGCUUAAAAUUGGGCUUGUGUAAAAAGAGUUGACUUUUUCUAUUGACCGACCACUGUUUGGAUGAUGAAAUGAGCUUACAAUAGAUAUGACUGUAUGGGAUAGCUGACAAUUUUGACUAAAUCUCAACCAUUCAUGAUUCAAUGGCCAUGAUUGCGCCACAUGGCAAUGGUUGGUGAAGCAAGUUGUAGGAUCCGAAUCUUUGUAAUCGGGUCGACCCGAUCCACCCAUUAACCCGCCAAAUCUCAACCGUUCUUUGACCAAAUCGGACAAGUCAAAUGAUGCCACGUGUGAUGUUGACUUUUGAAGUUUUACCAAUCGUCGGAUCUUGAUCUAAUGGUUGUGAGGAGCACAUGCAUGAAGUUUAUGAUGGACCACAAAACACUGGAUUAUGAAUUUAUUUUUUUAUAAAUAGAGGCUCAUUUUUAUGUUUUUAAUCAUCUCUCUACAUCUCUCUUCUUCUCAAAUUCUCAUCAUCUCCCUAUAAUCUUGAUUUUCAGGUGUGUUUUUAAUAUUUUGUAUAAUUUUUUUUAAUUAAUAAAUUUAGUUUUAUUUUCAAUUUAAGUUGUUUUUAUUACUUUUAAUUAUUUUUAAUUUAAUUUUAAUAAUUCUUUUUUUCAAUUAUGCUUAACUAAAUAAUAUUAGUUAGGGUAAGGUGAAACUCUUAGGAAAUAAAUAUGAUUUAAUCAAAUUCUAUUUUUAAUUUUAUAAAUUAAAUUAUUUUCUAUUUAAUUUUAUACAUAUUUUAUAUUUUGAAAUUUUGAUUUAUUGUAGACAAACAAAUGAAUUUGGCACAAUAAAUUCUUAACAUCUUAAUAUAAGGUAUGGUAAAAUGGUAUUUUGACUAAUUGUAGACAAAUUAAAUUUUGUCACAAUAAAUACUUAAUCCAUCAUAAAAUUAAAGGGAAAAUAAUAAUAAUAUAUAUAAUUAAUCUUUUGGGCAAUAAAUCUAAAAAAAUAGAAGUUUUAUUUACUACUAAGAGUAUAUCCACAACCCUAACUAGUUCAAUUUCAUAGUUUCAUUUAAAUUAAGUUCUUUAUAUUCAAGUUUAAAUUUCAAUUUUUAGUUAAAAUAAAAUAAAUUAAUUAAAUAUUUUCUCUAUGGAUCGACCUCGGACUCAUCGAGUUAUAAUACAACAAGACACUCUUAUACUUGGGAGUACUUAGGAGUUAAAAAUUACUUUUAAGUUGUGUCAACAACCAUGCACUGUUAACUCCAACCAAAUCCAAGUGUUUUUGGUGCAAUCGUAGCCUCAAUAUAUAUGCAAAAAAGAAGCUUGAUGUAAAUGAUCAAGCAGGAAUCAAAUUGUGCAAAAAUUAUCAAUCACUUGUUAUUGAGGCUGGCGGUCAUGAAAACGUGUCAUUCAUAGAAAGAGAUUGUAGAAAUCAUGUUCAGAAAGAAAGAAGAUUACGGCUUGGAGAUGGAGAUGAUACUGCUCUUCAAAACUAUUUUAUGAAAGUGCAAGCAAAAGAUAAUAGGUUUUACUUUAGUAUGCAAGUGGAUGAUGAGGGACGAUUAAAAAAUGUUUUUUGGGCCGAGACAAGGAAUAGGAAAGCGUACAAAGAGUUUGGAGACGUUGUUACAUUUGACACCACGUAUCUUACAAAUAAGUAUGACAUGUUGUUCGCUCCAUUUGUAGGAAUUAAUCAUCAUGGGCAUUCUAUUUUGUUUAGGUGUAGAUUGAUUUCACACGAAGAUAUUGAGACAUUCACAUGGUUAUUUCGAACAUGGUUAUUCUGCAUGUCUAAUUCAGCUCCCAUUAGAAUCAUUACAGAUCAAGACAGGGCAAUAAAAGUUGCAAUUCAGAAUGUCUUCCCUAAUACUCGACAUCGGUGGUGUUUAUGGCACAUAAUGAAGAAAAUUCCAGAGAAGCUAGGGGGUUAUAAAGAAUAUCGUGACAUUAGUAAUGUGUUGCAUUGUGCUGUUUAUGAUUCCCAGAGUGCUGCGCAAUUUGAGGAAACUUGGCACCACAUGAUUGUAGAAUAUGAUUUGGGGGAUAAUGAAUGGUUACGAGGCUUAUAUGAUGAGACACAUCAUUGGGUACCUUGUUAUCUAAACAAUACUUUUUGGGCAGGAAUGUCAUCUACUCAACGCAGUGAGAGCAUGAAUGUAUUUUUUGAUGGUUAUGUUAACUCAAAGACUACUUUGAAGCAGUUUGUAGAGCAAUACAGUUGUGCGUUGAAGAAUAAAGUUCAGAAGGAAGUUGAAGAAGAUGUCAGGUGUCUUUCCCAACAAAUGCCAUGUGUAACAUCUUAUGCAAUGGAGAGGCAAGUCUGAGAUGUGUACACUAUUUCAAAAUUUCAAGAAUUUCAGCAAGAAUUGAUUGGGAAAAUGUAUUGCGAAUUUGUCAAUUCUAUGGAUUGUAAAUAUAUAGUUAGAGAGGAUGUCAAAGUUGGAGAGGGUAAAAAGAGAACCUUUUUUUAAGUACAUUUUGAAAAAGAAAUGGUGAAAUACAUUGCAGCUACUCAAGGUUCCAGUUUAGAGGUAUUCUUUGCAGGCAUGCCGUUACAAUCAUGAUCCGCAAUGACGUGGAAGUACUUCCAAAAAAGUAUAUUCUACGAAGAUGGAGAAAAGAUGUGUGGAGAUGCCAUAGUAGAGUGAAAACGAGUUAUGAGCUGCAUAGUUGCACAGAUGAACAAAAACGAUAUGAGAAAAUGUGUGCUACUUUCGCGGAGGUUGCAAAUAUGGCUGCACAUAAUAUUGAAAGCUCUAAUCUUGUUUUCAAUUGGAUUAAAAAUGUAUAGGAGGAUUUAUCGAAGGCAGUUCCAUGCGGAGGUAACGAAGUAACUGUUGUUACAGGCCAAGGAAGUUGUAGUGUGGAAGUAGAAACAGUUAGAGAUCCAGUAGCUCGGCGUCGUAACGGUCAGCCACCUUGUCAAAGAAAAAAGUCUAAUAAAUUUUUGAAAUCUAAAAUGAAUUCCUCACGUUCCAAUGCAAAGGUACUUUUAAAAUGUAUUUUCAAUUUAAUUAAAGUUAAAUAAUUUAUGAGAUAAAUGAUGCUCAAAUGUACGUUUUGUUGACUUUGCAAGAUAACGAUCAAGUGCCGACUGUGAUCCCAACACACAAGAACAAUGUUGUUACGGUAGGUUUUAUGGAAUUCAUAGGCAUGCCAUUGAUUUUUAUUACUUAAUCAUAGACAUUUUUCUAAUAUAUUGUUGAUCCUCUGUAAGCAUUUCAAAAUCCUGAAGGAAGUUGUGUUGAUAUGAAUAUGUACCCACAUUGAGUUAUGGACUAUUGUAAUGUAAGUUUUUCACACUAUAUGUUAUGAUUUUUUUUUAAUUUUCGCUUCAUUUAACGUAUGUUUGUUUUAAGGUCUUAUGAGCUUACAUCAUAUAGUUGGGGAUAAUGUUUAUCCAACACCUACACAAAAUUCUUAUACGGUAAGUGGUGAUAAAUUUAGUAUUUACUCAUCUUAUCUACUUUAUUUUCUUUUAUUAUAACAAAAUAUUUAAUUUUUCUUUUAAUAGGAACCACAAUUCCAGUCACAUGGCCAUUUUCACCAACUACUCUUUCAGCAAGAUAGUGAAUAUGAAGUUGAUAAGGAGUUUCGAAGUGAUUUCGUAGAAUAGCAUUGUUUUUGUUUUAUUAUCAUUAAUAAUAAAGAGGGCAAGCCCUUGGCUAUGAUAUGUGAGCUUGUGGAUUUCAUACAUUAAUUUAUUUUUGUAAUGGUAUAUUUUUCCUUUAAUGGCAUAUCGGUGGUUUUUAACUAUGUGGUAUUGGAAUAUUGGUGUACACUAGUAGGUUCUAAGCAUGAUCCUUUAUUAGAUUUAUAUGCUGCAAAUGUGUUAUUUUUUAGUCGUGUGCUACUAGAAUGGUGGAGGGGUCUGCUGUAGAUGUGUUAUUCUUUAAUUGUGUGCUACUGGAAUGGUGGAGGGAUAUGCUGCAUAUAUGUUAUUCUUUAAUUGUGUGCUACUAGAAUGGUGGAGGGAUAUGCUGCAUAUGUAUUAUUUUUUAGUUGUGUGCUACUGGAAUUGAGGGAUAUGCUGCAGAUGUGUUAUUCUUUAAUUGUGUGCUACUGCAAUGGUGGAGGGAUAUGCUGUAGAUGUGUUAUUCUUUAAUUGUCUCUUAAAGAAUAAAUGUGUUUUUAAUGUGCAGCAAUUAUCAGUAACUUCAAAUAUAAUAUAUAAGUCAACUGACAAAACAAGAGAAGCAAAUAUAUUAAUAAGAGAAGCUAAUAACAUUAUUGUUGCGAACAAUAUUUUACAUCCACUGAAGCAUUCAUGAUACAGUUCACAAAAAAGGAAAGAUAACAAUACAUUAGUUAAUUACACAGCUUAAAUAUAAUACAUAUUAAAAGAGUUAUCAUUAUUUGUGGGACGUAUGUUACAAGAACAUUUGGUUGUCGUCUUCGUUGAAGUUCUUUCUCAAGCAAUUGAAAUUUAAGAGAUAAGCAUUUGAUUUGAUGCCCUAACUUGCGGACUUCUGUUAACAACAUGUCAAUUUUAUUCUGGUUUAUAUUCCGAUCUUCCAUCCCUCUAAAGUCAUUACAUUCACUGCUCUUCUAAUCAUCAUCCCAUUCAAAGGCCCCACAUCCUUUGCACUUCCAAAACUUACGAUUCAGAUUUUCUUUUGUACGUGAAGUUCACAAGACCUUAUUACAAAACUUACGAUUCAGAUUUUCUUUUGUACGUGAAGUUCACAAGACCUUGCAGCAUUUAUCACAAGCUUUACAAGCUUUCAGUUGUGUUUGAAUUUCGCUUGUGCUUGAAGACAUAAUGAUUGAACAAAUUCUGUUCAAUAUACACAACAGCCUAUAAUGAUUGUCAAGGUCACAACACAUAAUGCAUAUAAACAACAUAGACAACAUGAUGCUUCUCCAAUAUAAAUAGCACAUAUUGCAUAAAAACGACACAAAAUGAUGAUUCUCAAAUCAAAGCUCAAGCCUAGCAAACAAAGGUAAUACCAGUAUAUAAGUUUCCUUUUAGGAUUAUCAUCAGAAUAAGCCCUUGCACAUUAUAAAACACACUACAAAUAUAAAUUUCUCAAAUAACGGAAGCUUAUAGCAGCAGCUGCUAUAUCAUUUUGACAAAAUACAGCAACAAUUUCAUAUGGACUGGUAUUUUAAAAAUAAGGCCAUCUCCUAAGACUAUCAAAAUGCCAUCUCCAGCACAAGGCCAUCUCCUAUGACUAUCAAAAAUGCAAUUACAAAUCAAACAUAUUUAAACUAAUUUUCUCAUCAAUCCAAGUGCAAUUAAAAUUGUCUCGUUGCAAAAAUUCAUAAUCAACUCACAAAAAUUUGGCAUUAGCUCUAUAAUUCGACUACGGCAUUAAUCCAAGGCCCACGGCACAAGCCUUCAACUGAAAAAAAGGUGGGCACAGCACGGCCCACCAAAUUGGUGGGCCGUAUCGGGCCGACCCACAAGCCCUUGUGAGCCGACACCGGCACGGCCCAUUGGCCAUAGUUAGUCUCUAGUGACUGCCAAGGAUUAUGUGGAUUUAUGUAAGGAACCAGAUAUGGAUGAGGUUAGGCGAGUGAUUUUCUCUAUUGAUCUUACUAGUGUCCUGAGUCUGAAUGGGUUAUACAGUAGAUUUUACUAGUCAUGUUAGGUCAUUAUUUACAGUGAUUUAUUAGAGGUUGUCCUUGAUUAUUUUAGAGUUUUUGCUAUGCAUAGGGGUUUUAAGAGUGCGUGCUGGUUCUUCUUCUUAAAAAGCCCUCAUCAGCUUCUUGGGUAGAUUUUCGACUAAUCAGUCUAUGUAAUGUGAGCAAUAAGGUUCUGAUCAAGUUGCUUGUGUUGAGAUUUUGUUGCCUCGUCUUAUCUCUCUUUCUUGGAGUGGUUUUGUCUCUGACAGGGUGAUCCACGAUAAUGUUCUUUUAGUUCAGGAGCUGGUUCAUGAUCUCAACUUUCGUACUCAAGGGAACAAUGUAGUGCUAAAGCUUGAUAUGGCCAAGGCUUAUGACCGGAUGUCUUGGUCUUUUAUUGCUCAGAUGCUGCGAUGUUUUGGGUUUUCAGAGUGGUGGGUCUCUUUGAUUCGAUGAGCUAUCUUUGGCUCUUGGUUCUCAUUGUGGUGAAUGGUGUCAACCAUGGAUUUUUCUAGUCUCAGAGAGGUCUUAAGCAAGGCGAUCCUCUUUCUCCUUAUUUGUUUAUCAUUGCUGAUGAGUUUUUGUCUCAGGGCUUAGACCAUUUGUACUCUCAAUAUCCCUUUGUGCAGUAUUGUUUUGUUGCACGUAUCAUUGUCUGUCAUUUGAGCUUUGCGGAUGAUGUUGUUAUUUUUGUAAAUGGGAGUUAGUUGAGCCUUCAGCAGAUUAUAGAUUUUUGACAUCAUUAUGAGGCAAUUUCGAGGCAGUUGAUUGGUCAGGCCAAGAGCAGUUUCUAUAUUGAGGGCUAGACUUUUGCGUUGCACCAGCUAUUGUCCAUUUUAUCACUGGUUUCCAAUGACGUCAGCUUUCGUUCAUUUAUCUUAGGUGCUUGGUCUUUAUGGGGCGUCUCAAAAUUUCUUAUUUUAAUGAUAUGGUACGAAAGUCCAGGGAUCGGAUCUCGGGUUAGACUAAUUGAUUGCUAUCUUUUUAUGGGAAGCCAGUGCUCAUUCAACAUGUAUUGUCAUCUAUGUCGUUUCAUUUGUUUCAUGCUCUUCUCCGUCUUGUGGCUAUGGUUCAGCACUUAAAGAGACUAUUUACUCAAUUCUUAUGAGGUGAUUCCGAGAACGAGGCAACAGAUUUACUGGUGUAGAUGGCCAGCAGUGUGUUAUCCGAUUGAGAAAGGUGGCCUCAAUAUCUUGUCUUUUGAUGAUAUGGCUAAGGCUUUUGUGCUCACGCUUUGGUAGUGUUUUCAAGAGCAGAACUCAUUAUGGGCUUCUUAUAUGAAGUCUAAGUAUUACAGAGCUACAUAUCUUAUUCAGCUUCAGUUUAGUUAUCCAGUCUCUCUUCUCUGGAGAUGCCUUUACUCCAUUCAGUGUGUUGUUGGGCCUCAUGUGCAUUGGUUGGUUGGUCAUGGGGAGUGUAGUUUUUGGUAUGAUUGUUGGUUAAGCUCUUGUCCUUUGGUCAUUUAUAAUCUUACAACGGCUUUUAGGGUGUUAAUUUCCUUUUAUUGGCGAGGUACAGUCUGGAAUAAGGGUAAGCUCCAAGAUGUGUUGCCUUUUUCUAUUAUUGAGUAAAUUUUAUUGGUUCCUAUUUCUAGUAGGGAGCCAGAUUUGAUUCAAUGGGAUCUUGCCUCUAAUGGCAUUUUUCAUUUGUAGAUAGUUUAGGAGCUUGUCUGUUGUUCUAGGCCGAGGGAUGAGGUUUUUCGAGUAUCUGGCAACGACAUAUCCCGUCUUAAUUUUUUUUUUUUAGCGAUUGUUGCAUGAUUUUUUGGCUACUAAUGAUGCAUUGUGCUUGAGGAGUUUUUGCAUGGUCUCUUAGUGUGUUUGUGGUCGAGUUAUUGAGACUUUUCGACACUUAUUUAUUAAUUGCCCAUUUCACUGAGUUUGGGCUCAUUUUCUUCAUAUUUUGGGUAUGAGAGAUGUUGCUUUUUUUAACCCCCUCCCCCAUGCUUUGCUUCUUCAUUGGCGGUGGUAUGUCCCUUCUCGAAGUCACCUUCAGACACUACUACAAAAAAGGACAUAGAUGACAUUUAAAUUAUCUUUAUGAUGGCGAAAUAAAAUUAGUGAUAUUUGCAACAGUCAUCUAAAAUGAGGUACAAAAGAUGACACGUAAAGAAAGUCAUCUAAUAAGUAUUAUAGAUGACUCAUUUUUUUAAAAACCAAUCAUCUGAUGUUGUAAAAGAACUAUAUUUUCUUCAAGUAUAAAUGACUACCUUUAAGUAAUGGACGUCAACAAUAGUCGUCACUCUAAUAUGAAUAGAUUACUAAUGAUAUGAAAUGGCUGUCAUUAUUAUUAUUAUUAUUAUUAUUAUUAUUAUUAUUAUUAUUAUUAUUAUUAUUAUUAUUAUUAUUAUUAUUAUUAUUAUUAUUAUUAUUAUUAUUAUUAUUAUUAUUAUUAUUAUUAUUAUUAUUAUUUAAUAAAUUUUUUGAAAACCUGUAGUGUAAAAAUAAAAAUUCACCAAGCAAUUGCAUUAAUCAUAUAUAAAUCUAGUACGUUACAAACAAUACUAAUAAAAUAUUACAAUUUCAAAAUUAAAGGAACUAGAUAUCAAUAACUCUUUUUUCUAAAAGAAAAAUAUUACAUUCUUCAAAGGAAUGACAAAAUGCGGCCAUCUUGUUGGCUACUCCAGUAAUCAUGCCAAAGCCAGAGAGAGUUUGAGAGUGAACCCUUUUGACGAACCUUGCUUGAUUAAAAUAUCGAAAUAAUUGAAAUAAUUUCAUAAUUCUUUUUAAUGUCUUAUUCGAAACAAAGACAAUAACAAAGAUAUGGAUAAAAAUAAUAUUAUUCAUUUACUAACCUCUCAAAGUCAUUGUGCUAUAAAAUUUAGCGAAAACAUUCUGCCAUAUGUACUCUGCCCACUCCAUUCUUACUUCAUCAAUAUCCUUUUAGGUGCAGUUGUCUCGUCCAACAAACUAUAUAUCAUUCACAAAAUAGUCAAUAUUAAUAGAUGCAUUAACGUUAUGAAAUCUAUAAACUUUAAAAGGAUAAGGAAAUGACUACCACGUUUUUUUAUUGAAUCAUCUUGGCUUUCAAUAAUUUCCUUCAUAAACCUAAUGACAUAAUUCAACAUCUGUAGUUUGUUGAGGACACUACACAAGAAUUUUAAACUAAUUAAUGUCAUGUGCAUAUGUAAAGAAAUUUAAACUGAACAUAUAUAUGUACAGUUUCAUAUACCUUAACCUUCUUCCAAACAAAGGAUUUUCGAUCCGCAUUUCCCAUUUUUGCCACAAAAAUCUUGAAAGCACUUAAGAUAUAAUUAGAUAUACGAAUUUACUCAUGUUUUACUACAUGCAUUAUAAUUGAUAAUAACUUACAGUGAUACAAAAUUCUUCAAAUCAAGGUGAGGUUCAUGACCAAGUGAAUCAAUAUACUAUGAAUAUGUGUGUAUCCACAACAAUCAACAUCCAAUGUUCGCUAUAUAUAAUGAUAAAUAUCAGUCUUGCAUAUUUUUGUAAAAGAAAAAGAAAAUAAACUCCAAAUGCUAUAUACGACCAAUAAAAUAACAAACCCGGCAUUGUAAGAAAAUAUCAUAAGCUAUUCUGGAUCAAGUAUUUCCAUUCUUGAUACAUUGCAUGAGCUCUAGUCUCACCAUUAUCUCUAGUUUCAUGAAAAAAAUUUCAAGGAUUACCAAAUUUAUAAAUGUGGUCCAAGUAAGGGUCCUGCAAGACCUCAGAAAGAUGCCUAGGGAAAACAAGUGAUAAUUACUACACAACAUACAUAAAAAUUAUAACUAAUUAUGCUUGCUAAGAAAAUAAAUAGUUUAAUUACUUCAUGUAACAAGUUAUUGUUGCGACCCCAAUUUUUUCCAUGCUAUAGAAUUGUACGAUGUCGUCAAUUGAUAAAUAUAAUUCGGCUUGUUCAUUACCAAAGAUCCUAGGAUAAAUUUCAAUCAAUAAUGCUUUAGUCAACCCUUGCGAGUGUACUUGCAAAGGGCAUCUAUUCUUGUUGGCACUUUGUAUUCUUGCACAUUCUUAAUGGAUUACUUUAUAUAACUAGAAUAACAAAAAAUAGUAUUAUUAUUAUUAAUUUAUGAAAUAUCAAAGACAAACAAUAAUUAUAGAUAUGUACCUCAACAUCAUUCAAGAUGACAAAUUGUUUAGGCUAAGCAACAUAGGAUCCAAUUUGAUUUCCUAUGUCCUAAUUUGAGAAAAAGUGAAAUUAUUACUUAGCUAAAUAAUAUCAACAAAACAUCAAUUUAUUAAGCACAUAACACAACAGAUCAAAUAAUCUUGAUGGACAUGAAAUGUCAGAGACCAAGCACAAAGGCACAACAAAUGGAUUGCUCUGGUGGUGAGCAUUUAUAUUAAUUUAGGGCUGAGCAUAUGAUAAAAUGGUUUCGUAUUUAUACCUUCCUUAAAAUAUGUAAUUAUAGACAUUACAAACUCCUUCAUAAAAUCUAAUCCCUAGAGAUAACUUUACUGUUAAUCCAUAUUGUUAAUAUUUGCUACUCAAACAUGAAUAAAUUAGGUAAAGAAAAAAAAUUGCACAUGUAGACCAUCCACAAACAAACAAUCUAUUGUUUUCUUUCACAAGCAUGAUUAAACAAAAGAAAAGAAAGUACCUUUGUGUGGAGACCAAAACUUUUAAAAUCCAAGAUUAAAGCUGGUCGAAUACUUCAAUAUUUUGCUUGAUAGUUUUGUGGUCCAAGCUUUAUAAUCUUCUCCUCAAAAAUGUGUGGUACAAAGCUUUAAGAUUUCUUCUCUGUCUUCACUUCAACUAUGUGUGAAUAGUUAGGGUUUGCUAUUUUGGGGCUGUAUAAAUAAUGGGUGAAAUUAGGGGUUUACAACUUGGAAGUAAAAGAUAAGAAGAUGUUGUGGGGGAAAGGCAAUUUUAGAGAUGAAGAUUGUGAAAUUUCAUAGAAAUGGAGGCAAAGAGAGAGAGAGAGUUAGUGUUUUAUUGAAGACGAAGAAAAUAAAAGGGAAAGUUGAGUUUUUAUACUUGAAAAAUAAAUGACAAAUUUUAAAAAGUAAGAGUCACCUUUUAUUUAAUUAGAGAUGACUUAUUAUUUAGUUUGUGAGUCAUUUUUAUAUCAUAAGUAAAAAUUAUUUUAUAAUAGAUGACUUUCAAAAAUAAAUAUAAGUCAUCUAAAAUAAUAGAUGACAGCUAAUAGUAUGCUCGUCAUGUAUUACAUGUCAUCUUUGUCCUGUUUUGUAGUAGUGAGAUCCUCCUACCUUACUUUAUUUUGUGGCAAGUUUGGAAGGCUCGUAAUGCUUUUAGGUUUGAUUUGUAAUCUUUUUCUGUUGAUGCAGUUAUCUAUUAGGUGGCAACGGAUCUCAAGCUUGCUAGUUCCAUUUUUGGCUUUAAGCCUUCCAGCUGAGGGGAUUUUUAGGUUCUCGGAUUACAAAGGCUUUACGAGUUAUAGGUCUACCCAGGAGGUCGAUUCGAUUAGUUUCUAAGAUGAAGCCACCUCCUGAGGUUGCGAAGUUGAUUGUGGAUAGUUGCUCUAGGGGCAAUCCUAGGAUGACUACUUCGGGUGGUAUUCUCUGAAAUCAUCGAGGUACAGUUUUGGCUACUUUUGGAUCUUUUCUUGGUUGUCAGCCUGUAAUGCUUAUGAAGGGUUAGGGUUUGCUACUGAGCUUGGUAACUCUAUGCUAAGGUGGAGUUGAACUUGGCAACGGUCAUUUCUUAGACUCAUUUCGGGGGUCCUAUUCGCUGGGAUUAUGGUAUUUCAUUGUGUCGGGUGUGAACUUUGACGUCUUCCUCUCCUAUUUUGGUUAGGCAUUUACUUCGUGAGACUACUUUUAAUGUUGAUUUUCUAGCCCAUUGGGCAUUCACUCAUCGGGUUAGUAGGCGUUUCUUGUGUUCCCAAGAUUUUCCUACAAGCUUAUCUAGCAUUCUAAAUUUGGAUGUGUAGGCUAUUCCCCACAUCAGAUGCCAACAUUGAUGGCUUUCCUUAUUUUUUUUCAUCCUUCUCUUUUUAUUCUUGUGUAUUCUUGUGUAUUUUCAUUUACUUUAGGAGAUUUUGGUUUGUAUCUCCUUCCUUACGUAUUUGUUCCAUUACUAAUUUUUGUUACAGGUAAGAGCCCACCUAAUCCCCCACCUCUUGAUGGUUUUUAUCCAAAAAAAAAAAAAAAAGUAAUAACAUCCAAAAUUACAGUACGCAUAAUCUCAGGAUGCCUUGUCAUCUUCCAUGCUUCGAACCAUGUAAUAAGGAAAUUGUAGGGUAGUGGAAGUCUGGGUUUUUGAAAAAUAAAAAACAAAUAAUGCAACAUAAUUUUAGUAAAAGCAUUAUAUAGGUUGACAAUAGAGAUGACUGAUCAAUGACAGAGAACACAAGAAUGAAAUUUUUAAGUUAAAAAUAGACUCGAAAGCUUAAACUAAUAGCUAAAGAGUCAGCAACUAUGUUCAAGCUCUAACAAAGCCCCUUAACUUGAUCAAACAAAACCAUAACCACAACCACAAUCACGACUUAAGUCGCCAAUUUAUUAAAAAUCUUAAGCUAAUAGGAAAAGGACAUAAUUUAUUAUAUUUAAUCUCUAAUUAAAUAAUGCAAAAUUUUUAUCACCACCAAAUUAAAACAUGAAUGCAUCAAAACUACUGGAAAAUGUUUCAAUCUACAGAACCAGUAAUAUCAUAACUUAGCCUAAACACAGUGCCAAGUAGUCUGACUUCAGCGUAGGCUCUUAAACCAUUGUAGAAAGCAAAAUUACACCAAAACUCAUAUUCAAGCCGAAAUCAUAAGCCAUAUGUGUGUUGUGACCAUUGAUACAAUGGAAUUAUAGUUGAAUGUGUGUAAAUCCUCACCGAAUCAAAGAUUGUCCUUAGUAAAUACAAACAAACUACUUCCGUAUACCAAUUUAGAAUGUUUUGCUUUGGAUGCGCGUGUUUUGUUGCCCAAAGCCUGUGUCAUAAAACAGUAGCGAGUCUGAAAGGGCGAUAAACAGCAUAGGUAAUUUUGUCAUUUUGUGCUGCUUGCUGGCUUACAAUGCACAAGGCUUUGGUUUGAAAAGCUAUGUAUGCUAUUUGCAAAGGCGAAUUGUGGUGAAUAAAUAACUACCCUAAACAUGAAGCUCAACGAUUUUCCAAACAUGCAACAUAAUAUUUAUAAUUUCUGUGAAAAAUGUAGUUACAUACAUAUUUUAAUGAGUUAUCAAGUCUUUAUAUGUGAUGUCUUGAAAAGUAUCUUCAAAACCUCAAUAAUAAGCCAUCAAGAAGAAUCUUUGGGAGUAGAAGAAUUUCCAUAGAUGUAGGAACCAAAACCCCAGAACGUAACAAUCAGUGAUAGGAUCUUGAAUCCGCUCAUUGGAUCAUGUAACAACAUAACAGCGGCAAUGCUUGUGAUGGGUACUCUUAUUGCAUUGAGGAUGCCUGCCAGCACAGUGGAAGCCAAAAAAAGCACGGCAGUGCCUCCUAACACCCCCAGCUGGAAAGUAAUUGCGCCCCAUAUGAGAACCAGGUAAUACGAAGCUACACCACCUUUGAAAGUUUUGGCCUCGGAUUUCAUACCUUGAAAAUCCUUACUCACGACCACUCCUAUAGUUGUAAAUGCAAAGGCAAACAAAGAAACCAUGACUUGUUGCUCCAAUACAACAUGGAAGGACCUUCUGCCUACUAAUUUCACGAAAACUAGCUCAGAAAGGGCAAAGAUGAGACCAUGGAGUGCAGAUCCUAGGAUAUCCCAAACAAAACCCAUGAUGUAUUGUCUGUCAGUAAUGUUGCCGUAUCUAUCAGAAUCUAAAUCCAGUGCAAUUACAGUCAUAGCAGCUGUUUUUAUCACGACAACAUUUAUCAUUGCAGCAUUCAGUUUAUUCUUCACUAGAAAAUAACCAAAUAGGGUGGAAAAAACUAGCGAUGAUGAUGCCAAAAGAGCAGCAGUUGAUGCCGGAAGAUAGGCAUUAGCGUAUGCAUACAUGAGAUUAUCUGCAGCACUUAGAAAACACAGGACAAUAAAAGCUAGAGUGAGUUUUAAGUCGAGAGGAGUGGGAAAGGUUUUAAAUACGAAAUUUGUAGGCCACAAGAUCAAAGCAGUCAAAGGCCACCCAGCAACUGCAACAACUUUUCCAAAACGACGUCGUUUUAGGGCUUGGUUAAGGGAAAAAAAAAAAAAAAAGAAUUGAAACAGCGUCGUUUAUUACUUUCGGGAUUUGACUCAGGGUAACUAGCAUUUUUCAAACAAGAAACCAUGUGAUAGUAAUAAAUAGAAAACGACUUUAACAUGUUUUGACUAUUCUACAGAAAAACUUAUAGAAUAAAUUAUAAAAUUGAUUCUUCAUACUUGCGGACACAUGAUAAAUCCAUUUUUAUCAUCUUCAUCUAUAUUUUCUUUCCCAUUUAUCAGCGAAGAUUAUUCUUCAUCUUUCUAACAUUUAUCUCUACUUUCUUCUUCUUCUGUAGCUAGCUACUUUAUUCUUCAUCUUUCACCCUCAUAUCUUAUUUUCUUCUUUCAGGAUCAAAUUUUCAAGUAUUUUUUUAAAUUUUCACUCUAAUUUCUUUUUUCUCGUACAUAGCCCUGCUUAAAUUUUUGGGUUGAUCUAACAUUUUUUUUUCAUUACCUAUCUUUAUUUUUUCAGUUCUUGCACUACUAUUUAUAGAUUAUAUAAAUAUAUACUAAUUUUAGCAUAUUUUAUUCUCUUAAACUCUCUCGCAAGUGGGCAAGUCAGAUCUCUAUCUCCCGUCCUGCAUGUUCUUAGUUUUUCUUUUCCCCCCGUCCUUAAAAGCACGUGGGUGAGAGUUGUGGGGUUCUGGCAUUUGAGAGUAUCCCUGGCCAUAUUGUGUUGCUGCACUUAUUCUUUAAAUAAUAGAAAAUAAAUAAAUUAUUUAUUUGCUUGUUAUGGAGAAGACAUAACAAAACAGUAAUUGGAGAAGACGGGGUGUAAUUAUGGUAAUAUUAUCUAUUUUGAAAUUUUAUCGCUAACUUAUUUAUGGUAGGUCUAUAUUUAUUUAAAAAUUUAAUUGUAGCUAUGAAGAUUAUACGAAUUAAUUUUAUAUUAUUUUCAUUAUUUCAACUUUUUAAUUAUAAUUAUGACUUGAAUGUUUAUUAAAAAUUGUUUCUAAAGAUAAUAUCACCAAACACAUAUUCAAUUUCAAAAUACAAUAAUUUUAAAACAUCAUUUUCAUUCUCAUUUUUGUAUUACUUUUUAAAUAUAAGUAUGACAAUAAAUAUUUAAUAAAAAUUAUUUUUGAAAAUGGUAUUACCGAAUAUAUAUUUAUUGUUUUUAUAUUUUUCAAUUGUGUCUACUGAAUACAUAUUAGUUUUUUUAGUUUUAAAAUACAUGAUUCAAAAAAUAAUAUCAUACGCAUGCUUAAAUUCAAAAUAGAAUAACUGCAAAACAUUAUUUUUAUUUUUAUUUUCUGUUUUCAUAAAAUAUUAAUUCAAAAACAAUACCAAACAAGCACUUAGAGAUUUGAGGGAGAUAAAAUUACUAAGCAACCGACAUUUCAAUUUGCCCAUUUUUUCUAUUUUUAUUUAAUAUUAUAUCUCAACCGUUGGAUUCAUUUUAGUUGAAUCCAACGGUUUGUUUUAAACUUACGGCAUUGUAGUAGGUUAGUAGCAGCCUUUCCUUUUUUUUAAUGUAUUAUAAAUUUUUUUCUUUUUAAAUCUCACCCAUCGUCCUCUAACUAUUUAUUUAACUACUCUGGUGUGUGAUUUUUUAGAGUUACGGUGGUAACUGCUGACAUAUCCCAUUACGUUAGCAUCACGUGUUUUGUGAGGCCCAGAGAUAGGGAUGGCAAAGUCCGGGUCCGGUCCGGGUUUGGGGCUGCCCGGGACCGACCCGCAUGUUACACAUAGCUGCCCGGAUUCGGACCGUGCCCGGAUUUUUUUUAUACGGGCCGGGUAUAUGCCCGGCACUACCCGGGCACGGGUUUUUUUCCGGGUUUUCACUACCCGCAUUUUCAAAGCUAGCUAAACAAAAAAAAAAUUGAUAAAAAAGACUAAAUAAGUAAACUGGGCAGUGGAAUGGGGAUAAUAUAAAACUUAACACGGUUGAAAGCUUGCGCAAUCGGGUCUGAAAAUUCAUAACUUAUCCACGAAUUAGCACUUAGCACUAGCAGAAACUCACAGUAAGCACUGGAAGUUUGGAAAUAAAAAUGCAGCCAUGCUUCAAAACAAUUGUUUAAAGCAAUAUUAAAAAAAAAAAAUUUAAAGCUGCAAAGAUGGAACUAGACGUUGGGAAAAGCAUUAAAGGUUCCAACCCACGAUUUAACUUUAACAAGAUGAAAUGCAAUAAAUCUUUGAAUCUUUUUGAGGAAAGAAUAUACACAUUAUGAAGAGCUCUGUGACGCGAGUCACGGGACGGCUGUGCUUUGCGUCUUUGCGAGGAGAAAUAGAGUUGACCGAGGAAGGUAAGAGGUUCGUGGAGGGAGAGGCGCAUCGGUGCUGGUGGUUGCUGGUGGAGAGACGGAGAGAGGUGCCGCCGAUUUGGAGAUUUCAAGGUGUGUGCUGUGUUGUUCACUUGCAAUCGCGAUUUAGGGUUUGGUUUUGGGGGUAAUUGGGCAAAGUAAAUUUUAUUUUCGGUUUUAUAUUUUCCUCUUUUUUUUUUUACUUAAUAAAAAACCGGGCAUGGGUCCGGGUUUCGAAUUCUUGGUGCUGUGACAGGACCCGUGCCCGGAAGCAGCCGGGCAUUGAAAAUCAAUGCCCGGAUCUUUUUUUCAUUCAUCGGUCCGGAUUUUACCCGGACCGCACACGCCGGGUCCGGACCGGGUCCGGUCCGGGCGGGCUUUUCUGCCAUCUCUACCGGAAAACACCUAAUUGCCCAGCUAUUACCGGUUACAAUUUUUUUUCCCAAAAAAAAAUAUAAAUAUAAAUUGUUGGCUUGGCAACAAACCCAACCAAUAGAAAACGAGAGUAGACGAGAAAUGGCGGGGACAAUGAAGAGAAUCAAGCUGGGUUCACAAGGUCUAGAAGUUUCAGCACAAGGCUUAGGAUGCAUGGGCAUGUCCUGAAGCCCGAAUCUGAUAUGAUAGCCUUGAUCCACCAUGCCAUUGAUAGUGGCAUCACUGUACUUGACACUUCCGAUGUUUACGGACCACACACAAAUGAAAUCCUUCUGGGCAAGGUAAUGUAAUUUAGCUUCUAUUUCCUCCCUUUAAUUUCAAAAGGGCAUGUUUGGAAUUGGCAAAUAAUAAUAUAUUAGCUUUGAUUAAUUUGGUUUUGGGAUUAGGCUCUGAAAGCAAGGUACAGAGGAAGAGUUGAAUUGGCUACUGAAUUUGGUAUCAGAUAUGAGGAUGGCCAGUACUCAUACUGUGGGGAUCCUGCUUAUGUAAGAGCUGCAUGUGACUGUAUUGAUCUUUAUUACCAACAUCGCAUUGACACUAAAGUUCCCAUUGAAGUCACAGUUUGUCGCUUUUAAUUUUUAUAUAUUUGUCUCAAUCAUGCAUGUUAAACUAUAUUAGUUUGUUAGCCUCUGGGUAGCUCGGCUGCCAAUGAAUAUGAAACACAGAAUAUUUAAAAAUACAGGCAUGGGUCACUUCGGUGGGUGAGGUUUCUGUUAUUAUGUACUAAUUCUUUUACUUGUGUUGUUUCGUAAGAUUGGGGAACUCAAGAAACUAGUUGAAGAGGGUAAAAUAAAGUAUAUAGGUCUAUCGGAGGCUUCUGCUUCAACAAUUAGACAAGCUCGCCGUCCAUCCAAUAACAGCUGUGCAGUUGGAAUGGUCCUUGUGGUCACGAGAUGUGGAGGAAGAGAUUGUCCCUACUUGCAGGUAAGACAUUAUUUGGGCCAAAUGAAUUGUUUUGACCUAGUUGAAAGGAAAAGAAAUUAUGAGUAGAUGAUUUAACAUUUGCAUGCUAACGCAAUUUUGGUGGUUGCUCUGCUCAGGGAACUUGGCAUUGGAAUUGUUGCGUACAGUCCUCUAGGAUGUGGCUUUCUUUCAUCCGGACCAAAGUUGGUUGAAAGCAUUGCACCGGAUGAUUCUAGACAUGUUCGUAAGCCUACCAUGCAUUUAUUAUUCGAUGUCUGCAAGCAUGUUUAAAACCUUCUCUCAAGAUACUCUACAGUGACUUGCAUACUAUUUUAUCUUAUAAACCUCUGAUAUUUAUCUAGAGCCAUAGUUAUAGUUAUUCUAACCUAACCCGGUAGGACUUGUUUAAGAAUUCUCUUUCUUAGAUACUCUACUAGUUCAUUUCGAUCGACUAAUUACACUGAAGUUGCCUGUGUAUGGAUUGCAUGGAGAGGAUUGAGGAAAAAUGAAAAUUCAAUUACUAAGGACUGAAUACACUGUAAUCCUUUUUGAAGUGACUUGUCUACCAAAACUUAUUCAUCAUUAGCUAAAUGUUUGGUGUUUACUAAUCAUGUAUUUUUACUUUCAUCAUAUUUGCAUUACUUGUCUUCUUUAUUACACAUUCAUUCUCAUUUAGCAAUACAAUAAUAAUUCUUGUUUAGUUUUACUCUAUAGCUCUGAAAUUCUUCAUAGAUUUCAAUUGUAUAUUUGUCUCAAUCAUGCAUGUUAAACUAUAUUAGUUUGUUAGCCUCUGGGUAGCUCGGCUGCCAAUGAAUAUGAAACACAGAAUAUUUAAAAAUACAGGCAUGGGUCACUUCGGUGGGUGAGGUUUCUGUUAUUAUGUACUAAUUCUUUUACUUGUGUUGUUUCGUAAGAUUGGGGAACUCAAGAAACUAGUUGAAGAGGGUAAAAUAAAGUAUAUAGGUCUAUCGGAGGCUUCUGCUUCAACAAUUAGACAAGCUCGCCGUCCAUCCAAUAACAGCUGUGCAGUUGGAAUGGUCCUUGUGGUCACGAGAUGUGGAGGAAGAGAUUGUUCCUACUUGCAGGUAAGGCAUUAUUUGGACCAAAUGAAUUGUUUUGACCUAGUUGAAAGGAAAAGAAAUUAUGAGUAGAUGAUUUAACAUUUGCAUGCUAACGCAAUUUUGGUGGUUGCUCUGCUCAGGGAACUUGGCAUUGGAAUUGUUGCGUACAGUCCUCUAGGAUGUGGCUUUCUUUCAUCCGGACCAAAGUUGGUUGAAAGCAUUGCACCGGAUGAUUCUAGACAUGUUCGUAAGCCUACCAUGCAUUUAUUAUUCGAUGUCUGCAAGCAUGUUUAAAACCUUCUCUCAAGAUACUCUACAGUGACUUGCAUACUAUUUUAUCUUAUAAACCUCUGAUAUUUAUCUAGAGCCAUAGUUAUAGUUAUUCUAACCUAACCCAGGAGGACUUGUUUAAGAAUUCUCUUUCUUAGAUACUCUACUAGUUCAUUUCGAUCGACUAAUUACACUGAAGUUGCCUGUGUAUGGAUUGCAUGGAGAGGAUUGAGGAAAAAUGAAAAUUCAAUUACUAAGGACUGAAUACACUGUAAUCCUUUUUGAAGUGACUUGUCUACCAAAACUUAUUCAUCAUUAGCUAAAUGUUUGGUGUUUACUAAUCAUGUAUUUUUACUUUCAUCAUAUUUGCAUUACUUGUCUUCUUUAUUACACAUUCAUUCUCAUUUAGCAAUACAAUAAUAAUUCUUGUUUAGUUUUACUCUAUAGCUCUGAAAUUCUUCAUAGAUUUCAAUUGUUUCCCUCAGAUUAUGUUCAUUAACCUCCUCAAAUAUGAGCAAAAGCUUUCUUUGCAUUGAAAAUAUGAGGAAUUAUCUAUGCAAUGACUUCAUUGAUGGACAGAAAAUUUUAACAUGACUGAUUCAAUUUAUAUACAUGAUAAUACCCCUUAAGUUGUAUAGAGGUGAAAAAAAAAUGAGGGAAAAAAAUUGUUCCAUUACCUCAAAACUAUUACUGGAUGCUCAAGAAGUUUAGCUGUAACGACUCUUCCAAACUUCUACAUCCUUGUGGCAGUUUCCAUUUUUGUUAUAUUGCUUUGCCUAUGCACGUCAAUGUGAAAUCAAUUGACAAGUCCAAGGAGAGUUUAUUUCUUGUGAGACCUUUGUCUAACAUGCCAAAAUGUUUUACUAUAAACAUCCUCCACCUUGGAGAAGUCCCCGCCUAGUCCUUUUUCUUUGUUUUCUGGUCUAUUGAAUUUUACAUAAACCUCCUCUAAAAUCAUGCUUUAUCCAAAAUGAUGUUCUUUUUUUUAAUGAUUCAAUUGCAGUUCAGUUUUGGUACUGAGCUGUUUUCUAAAUCUUGCAGCAUCUACCGAGGUUCCAACCUGAAAAUUUAGAGCAUAACAAAAAGCUAUUUGAACGUGCAGCUUGCAUUAGCAUGGGUUCAUCACCAAGGAAAUGACGUGUGUCCGAUUCCUGGAACCACUAAGAUUGAAAACCUGAAUCAAAAUAUUAAAGCUCUGUCAGUGAAACUUUCUCCAGAAGAAAUGGCUGAGCUUGAAUCCAUUGCUUCAGCAGAUGCUGUAAGGGUUCAUCGGUAUGGGGGUGUCACUCCUACCUACGAAGACUCUGAAACUCCACCUCUGUCUUCGUGGAAACCUUCAUAAAGGGCAUUGGUAUUCUGCUUCUUAGUACCGAUUUUGCAAUUGCAUGUAGUUCCUAGGUUCUGUUGUGGGUAAAAUCAUUGUGUUCUCAUACGAGACCCUAUCAGUACCUUUCUGCACUUUCCACAAGCAUU